CAAUAAAUAUACUCCCACUUACAAAAUCUAAUAAAAAAAAUUAUUUUCUACUAGUUUAACCUUUUAUUUAAUGAAAAUAAAAAGCUCUUCAAGUAAACAUUCCAAUAUGAGAGUCAAGUAUACAUUCUAAUGGAAGCACCGAAAGUCUAAAGAUUCCACAAAUAAUUUGAAAGAAUAAUAAUCUUUCAAAACCAUUAUUCUUAGUAGAACAAAUUCCAAUUUUCUUAGCUUAUUGAGAGAUAAAAGUAAUUUCCAACAAAUUGGUAAGCCCAACCAUUUCCAAAGUUUUUCUUUUUAUAUAUAUAAAUAGUGGUUCAUCUUCUUCAUUUUCUAUCCCCAAACCAAGAAAACCUAACCUUGAGAACACACAAAGUGCCAUGGCAGCUCGUAAUAACGAUCUCGCUAGAAUUGGAUUGGAAGGCUUUAUCUUUAUAGAAGAACUCUACGACCGACCAAGGAGGAAGCCGAGGCAUGUUGCUCCAGCUCCCCCGCAACCAGUCGUAGCAAUUCAUCCUCCACAAAGGAAGGUCGAGUCAUCACCAUCUAUUCGUUGUGAUCAAUUGGCUAAAGCUCAUGGAGGAAUUAUCAUUAAAGAAUGGGGUGGAAAGCGAGUCAACAAAGUUGUCCAAAAAACAGAGAGACCAUAACCGUGAAGUUUGGAGUGAUAUGAGUGAUAUGGUAACUCUUUGUUUAAUCCAAAGUGUAUAUUAUAUAUGUAUGUACGUAUAUUUCCAUUUGGCCCUGUUGUUCUAGUUUCAAUGUUUGUGUGAAGCAAGCUUGUAAAACUUAUAAUGGCUCUGCUUGUAAUACAAAGUUAUCAACUAAGAAACAAACUUUGCUAUGCCUAUUUGCAACUUUUCAUUGUAUGUUUCUUUGAAGUCUAAUUGACAAGCAGAGUUGGAAACGAAUGAAAGAGGGAUCAUUUUUCAAUUUUCAAGUAUUUCAGGAUUCUUAACUUUCAAUUAAUUUUACUCUCAAUUACUUUUAACAUUCAAAAUUAUAAUUCGAACAAACCCAAUUUCAAAUAUGAAAAAAAAAAGUUAAAAUUAUUCCCAAAAUCUAUCCAAUUCUCCAUGUUUUAGUUUUUUUUAGUAUAUUUUAUAAAUAUUUUCAAUUUUUUUCUAUCCAUACAAAAUUUUCUCCAUACAAAUGUAUUAUUAUCGCAAAAUACUAAUUUAAAUGGUUAUAUUUAAAGGACAAUAAUAUUUAUCUCAUUCUACUAGGUUAGUAGGAAUUUCUUAUUACUUAGUAGAAGUUCUUUGACCAUUGAGAGUCAAAAGAAGGCGAACGAAAAAAAAAAUCUUUAUGUAUGUAUAUAGUUUGGACUUAGCUUAGUUUGGACUUAGCUUAGCGACAAUUCAUAAGCAGAUGUGUGGUUCUUCUCUAUUGCAGCGCAAUGAAUAAACUUUUUAAAAAUAUGUUAACUCAAAAAAAAAAAAAAAAAAACCAUACCUACAUGUACAUAUUAUAAUAUCAACUUUAUUUAAAAUUGUUUUAAGAAGAAGUUCUCCCACAUAUAUUUUCAUUAAAUUCUUUUAUUUUUGUAAAUAUUUGGUAAAAUUUGUUAUUUUUUAAAAUUUCUCUAAAUUUAAUCAUUCUAGUAGUAAGUUAAUAUUUCUAAUAAUUUUUUCUAUAAAAAAACAAAAAAAAAUUAAACAAAUAGACAAAAAUAGUGAAAACUAUAAUUUCCUAAAAAAAAUUAAAUUGAACUAAAUUAGGUCUAAAAAAUGUAAAAAACCUAACUCAUAAACAAAUAACCAUAGUUUAGUUUACAAAUAAACUAAACUACGUAUAUAUAUUAAGGGGAUAUAAACUAAUGUGAAAUAAAUUAGUUAAUUGGUAUCUGGUGAGGCGAGUUCUUCUCUGAACCCACACAAUAUUGGGUUAACAAUCAACAAAAGAAAUGUCUCUAAAAGAACCAAUCUUUUUAUAGAAGAGUUGGUAGAGAAAAACUUGCCUUAUUCUUCACAAAAACACAUUUUGUUUAUCCCCAAAUUUAAAGGAAUGCCACCAAUUUUAAUUUAAUUCUAUACACAUUCUUUGUGCUUUCAAUUCUUUUUCUCCCCUUUAAAAGAGCCUACAAAUCCACCAAACCUCAUAAAUCCACACUUCAUCAUUUCUCCUUUUACUUCCCUGGCCUCCCCUUGGAGGCUUUGUUUCUAAUUUAUCUCAAUAAACCAACCCCAUUAAUUAAUUUCUUUCUUUUUCUUUUCAUCUCUUAUAAAUUUCAAUGAGUUCUGUUUUCAAACAACUUAUUCUUCUUACCUUGCUAUUAGUAGCAUUGGUUGCUGUUGACGCCAAGUUGCUCGCCGGGCCGAUCUCGCCGGACCCCUUUCUAAAUGUCAAUUUAGGGAAGGACAUUAAACAUAGAAAGGAAACAGUGUUUAAUGUGCUGAGUUUUGGUGCCAAACCUGAUGGCAAAACAGACAACAGUGAGGUGAUUGAUUAUUCAGAAUGUUUUUGCUGUUGUUUUUAUGAACUAAUGAUUUUUUUUGUUGUUUUUGUAGAGUUUUAUGAAGACAUGGGUAGCAGCAUGUCACUCCAAGGGAGCUGCAAGAGUUGUUAUUCCUCGUGGUACUUUUUUGAUCAAUCAAAUUGCAUUUGCUGGGCCAUGUGCUUCUACAAGUCCUAUCAUCGUUCAAAUUGAUGCAACGUUGAAAGGAGGCGUCGACAUUAGCAAUUACUUCUCGGAUGAAUGGAUAUUGUUUGAGAAGAUCAAUGGUUUGAUUGUCACUGGCAGAGGUGCUUUAGAUGGACAAGGUAGUGCUGUUUGGGAAUACAAUGAUUGUGGUAUGAAUCCUAAUUGCCAGAAACUCCCUGUUGUAAGUACUUACCCUUUCAUCACAUUAAUGAUUUUUCGGGUGGUUUUUUAUUUAUUUAUUUUUUUGCCACGAUAUGGUUGUCUCUUUAACAUCGGCUGGAUGUGAAUACGAAGUUACUAUAUCAGUUUGUAUCUUUUAUAUCCAACCGUAUAAAGCUGACAGUCACAUUAUGGUUCCUAUAAUUUGUUUCCAACUUCGAGUUCACGUUCUUUUUUUUCCUUCUCAUAGAAUUUAAAACUCAAUAACAUCACACAUGGGCUUGUGAAAGGCAUUAGUUCCGUCAACAGCAAAGGGUUUCAUAUGUUCGUCACGAACUGUGAGAAUGUUAGGCUAAGAAAACUGCACUUAACAGCCCCAGAAGACAGUCCAAACACUGAUGGCAUACAUCUCAGCCGCUCCAACAAUAUCAAAAUAUCGAGAUCUGUCAUUGCCACCGGUGACGAUUGCAUCUCUCUCGGUCGAGGAUCAAUGAAUGUCGCCAUCAACAAAAUCACCUGCGGUCCAGGACACGGUAUCAGGUAACUCCCACAUCUCAAAAACUUGUUCAGCUACGGAAAUGCUUCUGCUUUCUGCUUUUGCCCUGUUUAAUUUAUGGUGUCUACUAUGGCAGUGUGGGUAGCCUCGGAAAGUACCCAAACGAGGAGGACGUACGCGGUAUUGUCGUGAAGAACUGCACAUUACUAAGCACGGACAAUGGACUUAGAAUCAAAACAUGGCCAGAUUCACCCCCAAGUGCUGCAUCAGGCAUACUAUUCCAAGACAUCAAUAUGGUCAAUGUCAAGAAUCCCAUCCUCAUAGACCAAGAAUACAGCUGCUCAAAAACCAAUUGCCAAAGACCGGUUCGUUUUUGUUUUUCGUCUUCGAUUUCUGAAUAUAUAUAUAUAUUUCCCAACUCAUUAUGUACUAACUAACGUAAUGUUGUUGUUUAACCGUUUACUCAACACAGCCAUCACGAGUGAAAAUCAGUGAUGUUCAUUACAUAAAUGUGAAAGGAUCAUCAAUCUCUCCAGUAGCAGUUCAACUGAAGUGCAGUAAGCAAUUCCCUUGUCAAAACAUCGAGAUGUUUAAUAUAAAUUUGAAAUAUAGUGGCCCUCCAAAUAAAGAAUUACCAUUUAGUGCUAAAUGUAGCAAUGCAAAAGUAGGUUACAGAGGCCUUCAAUUUCCACCUCCUUGCAAAUGAUCAUCAUCUUCAAGCUGCAGCUGAAGUUUGUUUGUUUUUUUUUGAUAAUUUUUUUUCUUUUUUUUUUUUUUUGGGUCCUUUUUAUGUAUCGAUGAAGCUUAAUCUGUAACCUUGCAAGAUUCAUGAAGCAUGUUACAAUGGUUUGAUGCUUCUCAAUUUAAUUUAAAUGCAAAAAAAUAUUUUGAAAAUCAUCUCUCUUUUGAAGUAUAUUAAUUAAUUUUAUUGUUUCUUAUACUGAAUAAUCUACAAAACCAAAAGUUGUAUUUGCGUAUCUGUUAGUUUUUAUUGUUAUAUUGUCGUCAUUACUUUGAUUUUAAACACAGAUAUAAAAAAUAUGUAGUGAAGUUAUGUGUUUGUUUCUAAUUUAUACUACACUAUUAACUCUAUUGAUAUGCCAUCAACUUUAUUAUAAUUUAAAUUCAAUAAAAAUACAAUUUAAAACGUGAUUAUAGAAUCGUGAAACAACUAUAAAAAGUUUCUUAGUUCAAGAAAUCGUUAAAAGACAUGGUGCAAAAAUCACUUUGUGGAAACAAUUAUACUAUCAAACUUUUAUUGUAAAAAUUAAGUCUUCGAAGUUAUACAAGUGUUUGAAAAAGUGAAACUCUUACCGUCUUACGAAUGUAAAAGAAUAUGCCUCUUCUUUUUUUCUUUUUCCGAAACUGAAAAUUUUUAAUUAACAAAGUUUAUGACAAUUUUUGCGAUAUCAAUUUAGGAAGAUGAUUAACGAUCUAAAUAAUUAAGAAGUUUUUGCAAAAAUAAAAAAAAAAUAACAAACCAUUUAUCAUUUAUAAAAUAAAGAGUAGUUAUAAUUCGUUGCAAUUUUAAGAAUAUUUAUUAAAUAUAUAAUAAUAUUUUUUUAAAUUACAAAUAUUACAUAAUUUAUCGGGAUAGAUUUUUAUUGCUGGUAGAUACAGUCUACCGAUAAAUAUUUGCAACACUUCUAUCAUUUAUUCAUUUAUAGACUUUAACAUAUUUUGUUAUAUUUGUAACUUUUAAAAAUAUUACUAUUUUCUUAAUUAUUUUGAAUAUAAUUGUGAUAUUUAGAAAGACAAAAUUUAUUAAACUUGAUAUUAUUCAUACGUUAUUAUAUGAAGUGUAAAUAUUUUAUUAUUGUAUGAAGUGUAAAUAUUUUGUAAAAUAUUUUAUAAGUAUAAAAAAAGUAAAGAGACAUUUUAAACUAUAGGUUAGUGAACCAAAAUACUAACGAAGUAUUAGACUUGUAGAAUCUAAUAAUUUUUUUUUUUUUGUAUAUACAUAGCAUAUUUGCUAUUUUCAAUAAUUUUUCAAAAGUAAAGAGGUUUUCAUUUUUUUUUAUUUUUUUGAAAAAAGAGGAGGUUUUUUGUAUAUGAAAUUUAUGACAAUUUCUGAAUGUUUUCAAAUUUUCACAUUGAUUAUAACAGAAAUUUUGAGGAACUAAAUUAUACCACAUUAUAAUUGAGUCUCUCCCAAAUGAUCAUUCCCUUCUUUCUUCCCCUUUACAAGAAAUCCCCACGUUUAUGGUAUAACAAAAAUUAUACAUAAUGUACGUCUAGUUUUCUUUAAAUAUCGGAUUAGAGGAUAUAAAUUAUGAUUCCCAAACACAAUUUUAAUCCAUUGUCUAAAUUGUUUUUUCUAUAAACAAUGAAAUGUAUUGAAAUAUAAAUUUUAAUACAAUUAUAAAAAUUUAAACAAUUACAUUUGUAAUGGUUGAAAAGUUCAUAAAUUGGAAGAAACUUAAAAAUAAACGAAUUUGAGUCAAAAAUAAAUAAUGGAGAGAUUGUACUAAAAAUUAAAGUCAAAUAUGUAAGGAAAACGGCUCAAAAAAACUCAAUUAAAGAGAUUAAAAACGAAAAAUUAAAUUAAAUACGACCUUAAUUGAAUUAGUUAUGAUAAAUCGAGGAAGGAAAAAAAGACAGACCUAACUCCAAUUAAUUAAUCGUACUUACUUCAGUUAAAAUAAUUAACCCCCAAAUUCAUGAAAUUAUAAAUUGUCAAUCUACGCCAUUUUAGUGCAGUCGAGAAUUUCAUUAACGUCAUGAAGCUAAUUUCAUCACUUUCAUUAUUCUCUUCUCUUCUGGCCAUUACUUUAUCUGCCGCCGAUGGAUUUGAUAUAGCUCUUCCGCCGUCCUACCCGGCGGAGCCCCCCGUGGGAGAUCCUUGGAGUGGAUUGCGUGUUUUUGAUGUAAAUGAUUAUGGGGGAGUUGCUGAUGGGAAGACGAACAACAGCUUGGUAAUUUCGUUUCCUCUCGGCUCUCUUUUUUUUCUUUUAAAUUAUGGUGAUUAAUUUAUGAACAAUUUCUAUUUACCUUUUUUGGAAAGUACUAUUCCAAAUGAGUUAUUUGAACUAAAAUAUUUAUAAAAUAUAUCUCCAAAACUUCUAUAUUAUCUAUAUCUUAAUAGACACAAAUUUUGUUAUUAAUUUAUUUAUAAAUGUGUGAGAAAUUUUGUUAUUUAGAAUAAACUUCAUUUGAAAAUUGAAAAAUAUUAGUAUUUUAUUUCUAAUUAAGAGUGGAGUUUCAACUUGCAAUCUUUAAGUUAAUUGAACCAAAUAAGUUUGACUUUAGAAGUAACGUAGAAAACUGAUUGUGGGAUUAAGGAAUAAAUUGUACCAAACUAAUUAAUGUAUAAGUCAAAAGUGUCCCUAAAAAAUCUAAAAUGAAACAAGAAUUAAGUUAAAAAGAUCAAGUAAAAAUUUGAAAUAAAAGAUUGUUAUUAGAAAAAAAUAAUUAUAAAAAAUAGAGAGAAAAUUAAAUUUUAAAAACUAAAAAAAAUAAAUAAAAUAGUUAGAAUAGGGAUAACUGCUAAGGACUAUAUUAAUGUAGUUAUUAUGUUUAUAAAUAGAUAUAUUUAAAGGGAAAAAAGAGUUAGAAAUAACCCAUCAACUUGUGAUUGAAAUAUAUAUGAAUAUAAUUAAAUUUGAUUGAUGAACACAAGUUAUAUACAAAAAGUAAUGAAAUUGAAAGUUGAUAGGCAUUGAUGGCGGCGUGGGAAGAUGCAUGUUAUCACCAAGGAGGGUCGAUGCUGUUAAUACCGGAGGGGAAUUACUUCGUUGACCAAGUUACAUUUUCAGGGCCAUGUUUCAAUGACCUCUCUCCUAAAGUCCUCAUUUUAGGCACUUUGAUUGCUCCCACCAAUCUCACCGCCGACGUUUGGAUCCACUUCGAUUCCCUCCGCCGCCUCUCCCUCACUGCCGGCCACUUAUCCACCCUCGACGGCCGGGGCGCCCAAACCUGGUCCUCCGGUUCCCGCUGUCGUCAUGCAAUGACUUGUGCCAUGUUUGCCAUUGUAAGUGUGUGUGUAAACAUUGCUAUUAAAAAAUUAUGUACUAAUUAAUACACAACUCAAAUUUUAAGUGUUCAUAACGGUGCAGUCUUUGAAGCUAAGCAAUGUGUUGAAUGGGACAGUGAGUAGUAUAAACCUAGUGGACAGCAAGGCGUUUCAUGUCUCCAUCCAUCAGUGUGACAAUAUUCAUCUUUCUGGAUUCAAUAUCACAGCUCCUUGGUAUAGUCAAAACACUGAUGGAUUCCAUAUCAGCCAAUCUACCAACAUCAGCAUCACAAACUCAAAAAUCGGUGUUGGUGAUGAUUGUGUUUCCAUUGGACCUGGUAGCGUGAACGUGUUGGUUUCUAAUGUUACAUGUGGCCCAGGACAUGGAAUCAGGUAUAUAUAUACCUAUUAAAUGUAAGAGUAGAAGUUUUUAAAAUUAUUGAAAUUUGAAAGUAUUAUAUAUUCAUGUAAUGCAGUAUCGGGAGUUUAGGGAGGUACAAAAUGGAGAAUGAUGUGAGAGGAAUAUGGGUGGAGAAUUGUACCAUAAGUGGGACUCAAAAUGGAGUGAGGGUAAAAACAUGGCCAGGAGAUCAUGCUAGCAAUGCUACCAAUUUGACAUUUCAAAACAUUGUGAUGAUCAAUGUCUCAAAUCCCAUUAUCAUAGAUCAACAAUAUUGUCCUAACAGUUCUUGUGACUCACGAGAGGUAGAUAGUUAUAUAAUUUGUAUUUAUCUCACUACUUUAAACUACUACUUAUACAUAUACUCCCGAUUCAAUUUUGAAUUUAAUUAUGUAAACAGUUUUCAAAAUUGUCUCAAGUACCUAAUCACGUUUGUUAGUCUUUACUACUUCUAUUGCUGAGUUUUUUUUUUUUUAUUUAUUUAUUAUUAUUACUAUUACAUUUUUAUAAUAUUUUUAAAAGUCAUAUCCAAGUUUUUUUCUUCUUAUUUACUAAAAAUUUAAAUAUAUUUUUAAAAUAGAUGAAAACUAUGAUAAAUAAAUGGAAAGAAUAUAGUCAUCAAUUUGGUAGACUGAAAAUUUAAAACAAAAAUGUUAACAAAUAAAGCCUUAAUUUGUGAAAUGUUCCUUUGGAUAAUUUAUCCUAAAUUAUGAGCAUGUUAGGUUAGUAAUUUGAUAAAAAGUAAAACAUCUUAAAAAUAAAUAAAUACUUUUUAUUGCUUUAAACAUUUAAAAAUGGUAACAAACAAUGAACAAGUUAAAAAUGUUUAAAACUGUAGUUCACACGAUAAAAAGUUAAAAAGUCAUUAUAGAAAAACAAUUGAAGAAUUUGAUUAUUAAGAAAGAAUAAAUGAAAACAACAUUUUUGGGAAAACAUUAUGAAGGGUAUGUUUUUUUCUUCAAAACUACUUACAAACUCUCUCUUGUUUAUUUGAUGAACAGUCAUCAAGUGUGAAGCUGAGUGAUAUCAACAUAAGAAAUAUAAGUGGAACUUACAACUCUGAGUUUGCAAUUAACAUGAAGUGCAGCUCAACCAAGGCAUGUGAGAACAUUCGUCUUUCUUACAUUAAUCUCACUUCCAUUAAUCACCAAUCGGAUGAUGAUGAAGAUGAAGAAGAAGGUGAUGUAACUGGCAACUUCAAUUUCAAGGGUGCUCUCAAUUCUUUCACCAUUUUUAAUUCAACAUUUUAGCCUUCAUUCACUCAAUUACAUUACCCAUUACCAUUAGGGGCUUAUUCAAUUAUUUUCAUCUAAUUAUAACCCCUCCAAACCAAGUUAAGGUGAGUUAAGGUUACAUUUUUGGCUAUAUUUUGUAUUAUAUUAUUGUAUUUCCAAAAAUGUUAAAUUUGCAUGAAAUACAAAAUGAGAUUAUAAGAGGAAUAAGAGCUAUGAGUCUUUCAGUUUUAUCUUCUUCCUCUCUAAUUUUGUCGAAUUUAUGUAAUUUAUAAUUGAUUCUCUAAUUAAAAUCAAGGUAUUGCGUCAACGUUCAAACUAUUGAUGAUGUUAAAUAAAAUAAUUUAUUGUCUUUAGAUUAGGCUUCACUAAUAUACAUGGUCAAAAGUAACCACUAUGAUUUUGUUGUGCAAUUAGUUUAUGAAAGCAACGAUGUAAAGUAGUUGUUAGGUUGAGAAAUUGAAUUGAAAAUCUUGAAAAUAUAUAUUUUAUGGAAGCGAAAAUUGAAAAUCUACCGUUUGCAUUCAAUAGGUAUGGUAAUUAAACCAUUCUCCAUAUUUUUGGUAUGGUAAAUUAUACUAAAAGUAUGUUUGAAAAGGGUAACAAUUAAUACACUAUUGAAAGAAUUAAAAGUUAUAAAAAAAAAAUAGAAAAAGAAAUAGAUAAAUAAGAAGAGAAAGUAAAAGUGAAAAAUAUGAGACGAAUAAAAGAGAGAAAUGAAUGAUACAUUUAAUUGAAAAUGACAAAAAUAAAAUAUUAUUGAUAGCUAAGUAAUAAAUAUUUCAAUUACAAAAAUUAUGCUUUUUAAUAAAAGAAAAAGGAACUAAUAAAAUAUUAUUUUAGGUUAUUUACCUAAAAGAAAAAAAAGAAAGAAAAAAGAACCGAUGAACUAAAUAUUGACCGGCAGGGAGUCAAGGUCGGUAAAGCUUGAAAGCACCAGAGAGAGCUCAGAUUCACGAGAGUCUCUUUGGAGCAACCCUGCUUUGCGCUGCCGUCGUCGGAUCUAUCAUCUCCUCUCCUUUUCCGGUUUAGGUACGUUUUUUAAAAGGGUAGAUCCCUUUUUAAUUUUUGAUUUUAUUCUUUAUCUGGGGAUUUCAAUUCAACAAGCCAUGAAUUCUAAUUUCGGGAAGAAUUUCGACUUUGAUCUGGGACUCGGAUCUUCUGGCUCCAAAUCACUCAACGAUCAGAAAAACAAAACCCCAUCCUAUUCAUCUUACACUCCCUCUGCUUCCUCCUACUCUUCUACCCCCACGAGGCCCGCCUGGCAGCCUAACAAGCCCUCCUGGACGCAUCAGCCCGCCAUGAAUCAGGCUGCUCGUCCUAACUUGUCCAAUUCCCCUGCUUCCAUGGUUGGUGAUAUAUUUGGGAAGACCUGGGGUUCCAAGGCAACUUCCGCUUCCACGACGGGUAUUGGAAUUGCUGAAAAGAAUCCGAAUCUGUUCGGCGAUUUGGUCGGUUCUGCCUUGGGAUCGGGUAAGAGCAAUUCUAAUACUCCAUUGAAGAAUGUGGGUCCGGCUUCGGUGUCUUCCGGUGCCGCAUUGAAUAGAAAUUCGUUUUCGAUGGGAAAUAUGAACGAUUCCUUGCCUAAAUCCAGUAGUAAUCCGAGUAAAAAUAGUGGAAAUUGGAGUUUUGAGAAUCUUAGCAAUUACAAUAACGGGAAAAGUAAUCAGAGUAAUACCACCAAUAUCAAGACUCCCAAUCUCGGAGGUCCAAGCAUGAGUUCAACCAUCGGCGGUGGUAAGACAAGCUCUACCAAAGAUCCCUUUGGUUCUUUAGUUGACUUUGGAUCUAAAUCAUCUGGGAAUCUGAAUUCAACUACUAAGAAUCAAAAUAUCAAAUCAAGCGAGGACUCAUUUGGGGAUUUCCAGAAUGCUUCUAAUCCAAGCGCUACGACAUUUCCUUCAAGCAGAUCAAGCACCAAUGGAGUUGAUUUCAAGGGAUCGAGUUUUAAUUCUGGCAUAAACAUGGGUGAUUUUGGAAUGCCUACCAAUUUUCAUUCCAAGGUUCAAGAUACUGUUCAGACCACAGCCAGUGAUCCACUUGAUAUGUUGUUUAGCUCAUCCAAAGCCCCAGCUGAAGGUCCUCCCUUGGCAUCUGGCACACCUGGAGCAUCCCAAUCAUUGGAUGCCGAUGAUUGGGGAUUGGAUUCGGACUUUGGGGGAGGUGGUCAUGACGUGGGUGGUUCAACAACUGAGAUUGAAGGACUUCCACCACCUCCCGCAGGGGUGACAGCUUCUUCUGCAAAGAACAAGGGAGUUGAUGUCUACAGGCAGGGGCAAUAUGCCGAUGCUAUUAAGUGGCUUUCUUGGGCUGUCAUUCUUUUUGAGAAAACUGGUAACAGUGCUGCCAUAGUUGAAGUUUUGUCGACCCGAGCUUCGUGCUACAAAGAAGUUGGGGAAUAUAAGAAAGCUGUGGUUGAUUGUACAAUGGUAAAAAAUUCAAAUUCUCUUGUAAUUAAAUAUUUGCUAAUGCACCCUUUGUCUCACUCCUCUUAGGUCCAGGUACCAUAUUAGCUUUGAAAUCUAUUAACUUGGGAACUAUGUUUGUAUCAACAAACUUGAAUUCAUGGUCCAAAUAAUAGUAGCAUUAGGUGGUAGGAAGUUUGGAGUAGUCCUUUGUUUGCUUGCAGCAAUCAUGACUUGGUUCUUAUAAAAGGGGGAAAAAUGUAACAGGUUUUUCUUUGGUGGGUCUCGGUAUUCAUUGGUGUUAGCAACCAUGUUGUGACUCAAGUUUUCACUUUUGUAGAGAUUGUUUGAUGGAGGAAGGGGGAAAAACUGGGUGCUGAUGUUUUAUAGCAUGGUUAGCUGACUGGAGUAGUUAGCAAAUAACUCUUAGAUUAUUGGUGUCCAUUGUUUGGUUUUUCCUUUAGAUAAAAUUAUUCUACCUAGUCUCAUGUCCUCUGUCAUUCCACCCACCCCCUAAAGAGGGAAAUAUUUGUAACUGUAGAGCACUUGUAGGAAGCCUUAUCCUGCUGUGCUGUGCAGGUAUUGGAUCAGGACGAUGCAAAUGUUGCUGUUCUCGUUCAGCGUGCACUUCUAUAUGAAAGUAUGGAGAAGUACAAACUUGGAGCCGAAGACCUGAGGGCUGUCCUGAAGAUCGAUCCAGGUAACAGAGUUGCAAGAAGCACAAUUCACCGGUUGACUAAGAUGGCAGAGUAAAGGUUCUUAUCACAAUUUUGUCUGAUGAAAUUUCUUGAAUAUAGAAUCACACUGGUUUCUCUCAUGCUAUCUAAAUGUGGUGGUGGAAUGACCAUUUUUUGAUUACAUGGUUUUGUUUUGUAUGUGUGCCCCCGUCCCUUGUGAUGCUUUCAAAAUACAUUACGUACUUGUAUUGUUUAUGACACAAAGAAAAAAAAAUCUGUGUUCUUGUACGAUGGCCAUGAAAAUUCAAUAUAUUCAAUUGCUUUUCAUAUCCUUUUUGCUGUUGUUUGAAUUGGGCCGCUUUAGAUGGCUGUUAACAUCAGAUAAAAAGAGAGUUAUGUUAGUAAUGAAAACAUGUUCAAAUUUUAACACAAUUUUAGGAUUCUUUGAUUAAUUGAGCUAUAACAGGACUUGGAUACUAUUUGGUUAAUAGAGUUUAUGAUGCUGUUUAGGAGAUUUGAUCUUGGUGGUUGGUAGCUUGGUGGUCAUUGGAGGUCUUCAAUGAACAAGAACUAUUGAGGAUCUAAAAUCUGAAACAAAGACUUUUAUCAACUGCAAGACCAAAUCUCCCAAACAAGGUUAUAACUACAUUAACCUUAACCCAUCAAAUAGUCAGGUUUUCUUUUCAUGUAUAAUGUAUAUGGGGAUACAUAAGAUGGCUAAUGGCUUUAUGCUCUUAUUUUAAACAAAGGCAUCAGCCAUCUUAUUUAAUUUAUUCAAGGAAAAGAAAAAACAAAGUGAGGAGAAUGGAUUCUUCUUUAGUCUAUUCCAGCCAAGGUUCUCCUUUGAUAGAAGGAAUAUUGUUUCUUUUGAUUCAAGUGAAGGACAUUUCACUUGAACUUGAAUUUUUUGAGGUAUUUUUUGAGAUAGAGGUGGAAACUAAGGAUUUGGUUAGGACAUCAAAUUGUGUUUCUUAUUGCUUUUUCUUUCUCUUGGUUGUCGAUUUCUAUAGCACAAGUAUUUUAACUUUACUUUUUGUUAGCAAGGGUCUAUUAUUGAGGACUGGCAUUGAUAUAUAAUGGAUACAUAGAUCUAAAUUUUUUUUAAAAAGUUCCUCAACAACUUAUAUGACUUAUUAAAACAGUUAAGAGUUCAUAUUUGAAAUCUUAUAAAUGAUGAUAUCUAAAUCUUUUACUAAUAUAUAGUUGUAGUUCAUGCUUAAUUGAUAACAACAUUCUGGGUUGGAAGGCGUCAUUGCAAACAGUAAUAUUUGUGAUAAUCAAAGUACAGUCUACCUCUCAAAUUCUAACAAAACAUAUCAGACAUCAAAUAUCAAUUUUGUUCCAGAAUAAAUAGAGAACGAAGAAAUUGAAGUGCUGAAGAUCCUUCUUUUGUGUUUUCUAAAAUUUGAAGAGAAAAAAAAAAGGGAAAUAGAAGGAAGAUAUUUUAUCCAUAACAAACACCCAUAGUUGAAAUUACACAAAAUUUUCUCCCUUCUUUUCAAUUACAAUACCACUUUCUCAAACUCUUUUAUCAAUUUUUUUAUUCGUUAAUAUCGAUAUAUCUUCUAUGUUUCUAAAAUAUAAAAAUAAACAUAGUUAAAUUGACAUAUAUACAUAUUAAUGAAUAACAACCAAGAAAGCACAAAGCAUUCAGAAAAUAAGGGCCGAAAUGAGUAAAGGGACUGUGGUAAAGUUGUAAUUAGGGACCAAAAAUAGAGGAAAUUUGGGGGUUAUCCUUUGCAUCAUAGCAUUUAAAUUUGCGUUACAAUUCUUAAUUGUAUAUACAAAUUAAUUAAAUUAAUCAAACAUCAAUUAAAGCGUUACCCCUUACUUAAAAAUAAAUAAAUCAGUUCCAUAAAUAGAACGUUACCCUUAAUUAUGGAAUAAAGUGAAAACUGGACAAUCGUUCGGCCCAUGGGCUCCGCCCAAUACAUCCCACCGAAGGGGGAAAAAAAAUUCCUUUUUAAUAGCUUCAAAAUAAAUAAAACUUUUACUUCUCUCAACUCUUACUUUAAGUUCGAAUAAGUUUUCAAAAAUUUUAACCUUAAACGUUAAACAUAUUGUAAUAUUAACUUCCCGUUCCGUAGUUUAAAAAAAAAGUAAAAAAAUUUGGAGCACGAAUUUCUUCAAGAAUGAUUUUAAUUACGUUUGAACUAAUUUCAAUUGAGUAGAUUUUAAAAAAUGAUUUAAUAGUUAAUUUGUGUUGUUGAUCAUAAUUGAUAUUCAAUUAAACCGUGAUCGAAUCAACCAAUUAGUCGAUCCAGUAAAAGUUCAAACUGACUCUACCCAUUAUAUGAGUAUAAACCGUCUAGUUUGAAUCAGUUUAAAUCUUUAAAAUUAUUUUUAAAAAAUGUUCUCUGACGAAUACCAACUGAUUGCUUUUGAUUCUAUUGGUUUUGGUUGGUUGGAUCAGUUUAUCAUACUCACUUUUAUGUCGUCAACAACAAAACUUUAUUUUAUACUACAUUUUAAUAGAUGCUUUUUUCAUAUAAACGUAGGAUGUAUGCAAACUAUUUUGGCUUUUUGAUUGAGUACUUAGAUAUUUUAUAUCAAUUGAGUUAUAUUUACGUUGACACGAAGUUACACAAUUAAUGUGAACUUGAAACAAAUAAUUUUCAGUUGAAGAGAUGACUUUAUUGAAAAAUGUUACAAAGACCGAAUGAGAUAAAGAGCAAAGGUAAGCAGGAAAUAGGGAAAAAAGAAGGAUGGAAAGAAAGGACAAAUGUAAAUUAAAGGAAGGAAGAAUGAUCGUGAAUAAAGGAUCAAAUGAAACGGCAAUUAAACAGAGUAAUUUAGGAUAUAAGGACGUGAGAAGAACAUGAAUUACCAAGCAAAUGAAAGUUACUAAUGAUCAAGAUGAAAUUUCCAAUAAUUUACAAUUUGAACCAAUAUACUUAAUUACUUAGUAUAUAUAUCUUUUGUUAAGUGGUUAGAUAUUUAUACCCAUAUUUAUUUUCUGACUAUCAAAUAUUCUUCACAUUUUUAUCCAAUAUUGUUGAAUUAAAUAACAACAACAAAAAUACAAAAAAAAAGUAGUUAAUAUAUGUUCUUAAAACUUCACUAAAUCAAUUCUAAACUUCAUUAUAUUUUUCAAUAUUUAAGAAAUUUGUUCUUUCAAACAUUGAUUUUCAAUCAUUUAUUUGAAUGACUAAAUAAAAAUUUAAAUUAAAUACUAAAGCUGAUGAAAAAAAUAAUAAAACUCAAUUAAUUAUAACUUUUUAAAUUAAUUAAUAAACACUAAUAUCAAAAAAAUGAAUAUUUAGCAUAUUUUAUGUCAAAGGACAAUAAUGUUUUUUUUUUUUUAAUUCAAUAAAGAUAAAAAAUUAGAAAAAGAAAAGGGAAAAAAAAACGGACAAAUUUUAAAAAUAAAGAAAGAAAAGAAAGAAAAAAAGAAAAAAUGGUAAAAAAAUCAGAUGAGUAUUUGUCAGAUUGUUGGUAACUUCCUUUUACGUUAUAACCGUCAUCUCCUCUUUUCUUCUAUUAUAAAUCUCUCUUUCCUUUCACUUUCAUUUUCAUUCUUCUCUUCGCCACACUCCUCCUUUUCUCAAUUUCUUAUUCUUUUUGUUCUCUCUCCUCUUUCACUUCAACCACCCACCAUGUGCGGCGGAGCUAUCAUCUCCGAUUACGUCGAACCAAACCCCGUUGUCGUCGACAACCUCCUUUGGCCUGACCUCGACACCACCUUCUCCGACCUCCUCGGUCUUGACCUCAUCACCCAGACCCAAAACUACCCCUUCAACAACACUACUUCUCCCAAUGUUGUCGACAAUAAUAUUCCCAAACAACUCUCUCAAGGUACACUACUCUGAUUCUGAACUCCCCUCCCCUCCCCCUCCUUAAUUACUUUCUAAAAUCCAUUUUUCAUUUAAUUGAUUAUUCAACCUCUAACUUGUAGUGAAACUAUUGUAGAAGAACUCAAAAAGUUGAACUUAUUAAUUUUAAGGAUGCAUAAACUUUGUAGGAAUUAACUUAAUUAACAAAUAAAAUAUGUAUGUGUGUGUGUGUGUGUGUGUGUGUGUCUGUAUAUCUUCAAUACUGUUUAGCUAAAUUUUGUUAUAAUGAAAAUUUAUAGAAGGUCUCGCAGGCAUAAAUCAAUAACAAUUGGAAAAGAAAUGACUUUAGGAGUUUGAGCCAUCUUUUACUAUGUUAAAUCAAUGACAAGCCCAAAACUAUAUAUCAUCUGGUUGACAAAUCAAUAGUUUAAUGAAAAAAGUGACUCUUUCACAUCAAUUGAGUUUUAAAAAAUGAGAAAAAAUUUAAGAUUCUAUUUUGUUUUUUUUCUAGAAUUAAGCUUAUAAUUCUCUCAAUUUUUUACAACAAGAUUUGUAUAUUAAAAUGAAAGCGUUAUAACCAAAUUUCAGAAAACAAAAAUAAGCUUUUGAGAAACUGAGGUGAAUGGAUUGUUUAAUUGCAAGCUUAAAGAAAAAGUAAACUUAGUAGUUCGUGUGUUUUGUUUUGUGAUGAGAAAUGAUAGUAAACUAGUAGUAAUUGGGUAUUGUUAAUGUUAAAUGUUUUUAGUGAAAAAAGAGAAAGUAGAAGGGAAUGAAGUAGGAAGAGGUGAAAUGAAGAAGCCUCAAAAGGUUAGAAAAAGCAAAUACAGAGGGAUCAGGCAGCGUCCAUGGGGAAAAUGGGCCGCCGAGAUUCGAGACCCACGAAAGGGCCUACGUGUUUGGCUUGGCACCUACAACACUCCUGAAGAAGCUGCUCGAGCCUAUGAUCAAGCCGCCAUAAGAAUCAGAGGUAAAAAGGCCAAACUCAACUUCCCGCCCCCACUCCCAUCACCACCAUUGUUAUCAGUACCGUUAUCUCUACCACCCUCACCGCCACAACAACAGCUCCCGACCACCUCCACCCCCAUUGAUGUCGAACUCAAACACCAAAUCUCAACCUUGGAAUCAUUCCUCGGUCUCGACCCCUCGCCACCAGUCGAACCCACAGCAGACCUUUGGUGGGUUGAUGACCUUCUCGCAUGUCAACAACAAAACCUCCAACUCUAAUUUCAAAUACCCAAAAUAAAACAUUAAUACUUACCUCAUCAUCUUUACAAGUAAGUAAGAAUCUUUUAUUAACACCGUUAAAAAUUUGAUAAGUUGAAAUUUGAACAGGUGCAAUCAGUUUGAAGAUUUUUACUUAUAAUCAUUUAGUAGGAGGUAAGUAUAUUGUUUAGUCUUUUUUUAAAUCCCAACUUUUGUUAAUAUAUAAGGAAGAGAUUUAGUUCUUCCUUUGAAGUUGGGUUUUGGGUCUAUAUUUUGGUUUAAUUAUAAUAUAGUAAAGUGUGUUUAUCACCUUUGUGUAUUGUGGAAUCAUACAAAAGUUUAUAUAAAUAAUGUUUAAGCAUUUUGGGUAUGUUUCUGUGAUGUGUUGUCGUUAUUAGCGUUAGAUUUUGAAAAUGAUUUAAUAAUUUGAUAAUGACCCAAAAGCAAAAACAAAUAGAUUAUAUAUAUACAUAUAUUAACCCAAUUAAUUAACAAUGAUUGGAUUUAUGUAUAUCAACAUUUAUAUAUUAGUAAUGUUUAAUAAUGUAAAUGCAAGUGGGGGAUGGAUUUAUAAUUUGGUUCAUGAACCUCACCACCAUUACGUCACACCAGCAGCUGCUUGAGGAUUUAAUUAAUUAAUUAACCUAAUCUUUUUGCCUCACUUAAAAAGGAGAUUACGAUUAGAAAAUUCAUGAAAGUGACAAAUUUCUAUUAGCUGUAUUCCCUUAUGAAUAAUGUCAAACUAUAAAUAGUGAUUUUAUUGAAAAAAAUUUAGAAUAUUUUCCGAGUUAGGUUUUGAUUCAACAUUGAUAGUAGUUUGGAGUUUGAGAUUUGAUCGUCCGAUUUUCAAAUUAAAAAUUAAAUUGGCACACACAAAAGAGAAAAAAAUAUACUUCUAUUCCAUAUAAUUUAACUUUGGUUGAUUCAAUUUGAUUAUGGGAAUAUCAACCUUACCUUAUGCCAAUUCAAUGUAUAUAUAUUAUGGUAUAUUUUAUAUUUUAUACUUCAUUUAUGCGUUUGGUUAUUCAACUUUUUCUUCUGUUGGUGCUUUAAUAGUUGUGAUUAAGGUCUUAUAAAUUGUUUAGCCAAAAUUUAUUUGACCAACUAUAUUCUUUUUCAAAAAAAUAUAUUUUUUAAAGAAAUAUUUCAAGUCAACAUACUGAUAUUAUAAACUGGGACCAUAAUAUAGUAAAUUUUAUCAAGGUCUAUGAACGACAUAGACUAUAUUGCAAAUAUUAUUGGUCUAUCCAUAACAAUAGAAGUAUAUAGUUGAUAGUCUUUGUUAAAUUUACAAUUUUUUUAAAUAUAGCUAUAUUUUUAAAGGAAAUGAUUGAAAAUAACAAAUUUGACAAAAUAUUUACUAGCAAACUUUUUAGAUUUUAUCAAUAUAAUAGAUAUUGCUAGACACUAAUAUGUUUCUAUCAGUACAUUGAUAGAUAGUUAUAGAAUCUAAAAUUUUGCUAUAACCAAUAACUAUUUUAAUUUUAAUUUUUUUUUUGUUUAAGAUGAUGAUAUUUUUUAAUUAUCAUCCUUAAAAUUGACAUUCAUUAAAUUUUUUUAGGUGAAGGGUGUGAUUCCACCUUUCUAAAAAAAUUUGUAAAAGAAUAUGAUACAAAUAUUAAGAAUUUAAGUAUUUUAAAGGAAGUAAAGCAGACACAAAUUGAACUAGGCAGAUUUAUAUAUUAGUAAAAAGGAAGUUUGUAGUAAAUACUUUUCAUGCUCUAAAAAUCGAAUAAAUAAAUAAAUUAAAAUACGACAAAUGCAUAGAAGUAUAAAAGAGAUUUUGGAAAUAAGGUUCUAAAAAUGUCAGAAGUUUAGUAAAGAUUUAAAGAUAUAUAUUCGUUGCAAAAUUUAUCAAGAGAUUUUCUUAACGAAUAAAUUCCGAUUUUUUGUUUUUCUUUUCGAAUAAAAUUUGAAUUUGUUUUUUUUACGAGAAAAAAUAAUAUUUUUAAAUAUAGUAAAAUGAAAAAAAAUAUUUUACAAAACGUAGCUAAAUUCUAUAUUAUAUUAAUGAUAAUCCCGGAUACUUUACCAUUUAUAAAAUUUGAAAUUUUGUAAUAUUUUAUAAAUAUUUUUAUACAAUUUUGUUAUUUAAAAUAAUUUUCUAUUUUACAUGAAAUACUGUAGAAUAAGACAAAAUAUAUGACCUACCAAAAAAGAAACUCACAUACGAGAAAAUUAUUACAAUGACACAAAUUUGAACACGAUCUAAAUUACAAAAAUACUCUUUUAAAAGUUUUUGUACCACUAUUCUUUUUUCCACUCCUAAGCUAUUGAACAUAAAAGAGAAUUUAACUAGAAUAAGCACAUGCAAAUUUAAAGUGUAAUAAUUAGGACGACUCCUAUUAGAACACUUGAAGUUCAUUAUAACUUUUUAGAGUAACGUUUGCUCUUUUAAUAUUUGUGUUAAAACUUAGGAACGUAAUUAUUAGAAAAUAUUAAAAUAAUAAUGUGAGAAGUUAGUGAUAGAAAGUGUGGAUAAUGAAAAGUUAAUGUGAGUGAAAAAGGUUAGUAUAGUUGAGAAAAAAUGUGUGAGAGAAAUUAAUUAGGUAAAAAAAUAUACCAAUUUUCAUGUAAUUUUCCCUCAUCAUAAAUAUAAAAAGAAUUAAAUAGGUGAGAUGCAUCAUUGUAUACAACAAUAUAAUCUCUUUCUUCUAAAAAAAAUUAUUUAAGUAAUUUUCUCAACAAAAUAUGACACAAUAAUUUAUUUUCUUUUCUUUUUUGUUGUAAGAAAAAGCACUUGAAAGAUUAAAAAGGUAUAUUAUUAGUAAGACAGAUGGAAAGGAGAAAAGAUGCAUGAGAAUAGAGAGUCCAAUAGAGAGCUUUAAUUUGUAAAAGCAAUAUUAAAACGUGUUGGGGAUGAGAUGUUUUUAAAUAAUAUUUAUGCAUUGGAAACCAAUUAAUGCAAAACCAAACCUCCCUUUCACCUCUUCAACUUAAACUUAAAACUGUGGGUUCCAAACACUCUCACCAAACUCCAUUUCUUUCCUUUCUAAAUCUUAACCUACAAAAUUCCAACCCUACACUGUGUUUUCAAGUUUUAACGAUAGUACUCAUUACCAUUUUAAAUGUAAUUUUUUUGUUUUUGUUUUUUGGAGGCUUUUCAAAUUAAAGAAAUGCUUGAAGUAGUUAAUGAGAAUCAACACACUAGAUGGAUCAAACUUAGGGUUUUUUAAUAUUGCCAUAGCUCCACUUUACACCAUAUCUCAGUUGAUAUAAAACUUUUGAAGAGAAACGGAACAAAAAAAUCGAAUAAUGUUUGAAAAACUUUUGAAGAAAGAGGGAAGCAAAUUUAAGUGUGCACAAUGUUAGGCAUUUACCAUAAUUUUCUCUUUUGGCUACCCUGGUUUGAAGCAAAAUUUCAAGGUGUUGGACUUUGCUGAGGAAUGUCUCUUUAUUUUCUCCACAUGGUAUGCUGUGAAAGAAAAAACCCAUAUGCCUUUCGCUAUCUUUAGUGACCAAUUUUGAGACGGAAACCCACCAAAUUAUUAGGUCUUACUACUACUUCACUAAUCAAUUACUUUUCUAUGCAAUUGUCAAACAUUUUCCCACCCUCUCCUCUCUUCUAAUUUGACCAAAUGUCUAAGUUUGCUACUUAUAAGUUCUCCUAUUUCUUUAGUGUAUGUAUUUAUGUAAUAUCUUUAGUGUUCAUGUGUGUGUGUGUAUGUCGAUUUAUGUAUGUAUAUAUGUAUGUCAAUUUAUGUACGUAUAUAUUUACUACUAUAUGACAAAUGUACUAUGUACUUUUGAAGAAUAUAAUAUUAGAUAGUGCACUAUCAUUUAUUUAUUUUUUAUUUCUAUCUUUGUUACAUUGUUUUCUAUAUCCUACCUAAACUAAAACAAUAUACACUAAAGACACGUUAUUACAAUAACCAAUUCACCUCAAAUGGCUCAUACAAAUUUGGUUCAUGGGCGAAAAUCAAAGUUUCAAUUUUCACUUUACCUUUAUUAACAUGAUAUGAACUAUAAAUUCAAAUAACACCCAUUAAUUGUUAACACAUUAUAUAACUGUAUUUGUUUGAGCAACAAAUUGAUGUGCAUAGAUUGUUGGACAUCAAAUUGAAUUGAUUGUCCACUAGGGUUCGAAUAUGAAAGCAAAUGUGGGCCGGGAGAAAGGUAUAGAAUAGAAGAUGCCAAAACGGGCUUUAUUUUAGGCCCAAUUGUAGAAAGAGAUGAAGCAAUUGGAAUCCCACAUCGGAAAGCAGAAUGGAAGAAAGGUGAAAGGAGAAGUAUAAAUAGCAAGUAAUAGAGGGAGGUUAAGAGUAACCCGACCUGUCAGGGGGUGAAAGGCGACUUGUCAAUGAUCGUAUAGAGACGACGAGUCGUGCCGACACCUACCAAUACGAACACACGGUACUCGUGCGCGAGCGAGCACCCACCCUACUUUCGGUGGGGGCUUGCCCGUCAAUUUUUGGAAGCCCCUGACUUUCUCGGUCGGGGCUUUAUUAAUUAUCCUCAUUUUUUAAUCCUUUUACUAUUUUCUUCCGACUCCACCCUUCCGUGUCGUCUUUUUUAUUCUAUUGAUUCUCUUAAAAUGGAACCAGUAAACUUAAAAUCUUACGAAUUAAACUUUAUUAAAUUAUCGUAAUUAUGCAUAGGGAUAUUUAAACAAACCCAAUAGAACGAAUUUUAAAAUAACAGAUAUUUUAAUAUUUGUAAAUUGUUUGAGUUUAAUUUGAUUGGUUUAAAAAAUCUUCCUAACCUAAACCCAAUUUAUUUAUACUCUCAUUUAUUAAUAAUGUAUUAACUUGAAUGGUUAUGAAAUAAAUAACUCUUAUGUUUUAUGACAAAUUGUAUUUAACUAUUCUUUUAUAAUUGAAUAUAUGGAAUUUUAUUUUUAAAAAAUGAUGUUUUGUUUUCUUUAAAAAAAAAUUCGAAUAGUAUAAUAUCAUAGAUAUUAUCUUGUUUAUUUUAAUUUAACAACAAACUCAAUUUUAACUUUUGAAAAUUAUUUUUAAAAAUAUUUAUUGCAUUUUUUAAAACCAAAUUGAAUUUCAAAACAAACAAAAAAAAUAGUUUUUAAAAAUCCGAUUUUGUUUUUAAAUUAAAUUGUAGAGAGUUCAAAUAAGUAAAAAUCAAUUUUAAAAUUCAGAUUUUUGAUACGGUCAAAUAGAUUUUUAUUGAUUCAAUAUCGGAUGAUGUUAGUUUCAUUAUACUGAAAAAUAGAAAUCCAUAAAACAUUAAAUAAUGAAAAAAAUAAAUCCAUGAAACAUUAAAUAAUGAAAAAAAGAAAUCCAUGAAACAUUCAAAUAAACAACCUAACGUUAUUACUUCUUUAAAUUUUGAUUCAUCCACUAAACUUCGAUAUAAUAUUAACGACUUAUAAAAAAAUCUUUAUUUUUAAGUAUUAUUAGUUAAACCUCAAUUAACUUUUUUUUUUAAAUGCAAUUACCACGUAAUAUUAGUGAUUAAUUCAAUUAACUGUGAAAUUAUUAAUCUACUUUAUGUUUCAAAAUUUGAAUGUAGUUAAGGAUAACUCUACAAUUAAAUAUACUUGAUCUUAAAUAAUGAUGGGAAGGUAGAUGGUUUGUUGAGAAUUUUUCUUUAAAAAAAGAAAAAGAAAAAGAAAAAAGCAACAUCUAAACUAUUCUUAUUUGUAACAAUACCCUUAAUAAAUUUAUAUUUGGAGUUAAAAGACACAAAAAUAAAAAUUUAGAAAGCUAUUGAGUGAGUAGUCAACAUCAAAUAUCUAACAAAGUUGUAUUGUAUUAGUUUGAAUACAAUAAUACAGUGAUGAAUUUUGGGAAAUGGACAAAUUUUGCAAUCCAAUUCCCCACUCUCUCCAACGAAUUAAAAGCAUUUUAUAAUCUGCAUUCAAAUCCAAUCUCCCUUCAAUUGCUCCAAAACAAUAAUAAUUGAAUUCACAUCAAAAUUAUUACUCCAUUAUUAAAAUUUAAAACCUCCUCCCCACCUAUAUAUAUAUAUACCAAUGGGAUUUGUGUUAUCAAUUUGAAUUUAAAUUCACCUCCCUCCCUCCUACCAGACUUGAAUUUGUAACAAAUGGUGUGAUAUAUUAAAAUUGAAACAUAAAGUCUCCAAAGGAAAUGAGUUGCACACAAUUAUUCAGCAAUCAAUACUUUCAACUCACUGUGGACCCUAAAUUUCUUCUAAAACACAUCUUUGGACAUUGUUCUUUUCUUUAACAAAUAAAAAUAUUAGACAUUGUUUUGUUGGUUUCUUUCAAUUUCACCAUCUCUUCUCCCUCUUUUCACCUUCUUAUUUCAAUUGCCUAUUAUUGUUUGUGGGUCAUCAUAUCAUAUCAUAAUAUGAAUAUAUAUUCACUUUUCUUUUCCUUCACCUCUUCUUCUUCUUUUUGGGUUUUAAUUAGUUGCUACCUAAUCAAUUUAUUGCUACCCUUUAUAUUAUACUAUGCUCUACCUACACUCACUUAUUCUAUAUUUUUCAUAUCAUUUCUCUUUCUUCCAUCAACCUCUAAUACUAUUUCAUCUAUCUAUUCUAUGUCGUCCCAUCCAUUUAGAUUCAGAUUGAGCUUCCUCCUAUCCAAACUAACAAUUUUAUUGGGUUUCAUUAUGUUGUGAAAGAUAGUGAUUGACUUAUAAAUAAGCAGUCUCUCAACUUCAUUUCAAUUUAUAAGAGUUGUGUUAGACUUUUUUCAAAUAUCUAAGAUUUAAGUAGUUCCGAGUAGUUGUUCUACCGAAAUUAGUCGUUGUAUCCUAUUGAGACGCUUGUUGUGAUAUAAUUUUAGUUUCUGCAAAGUAGAUAAUUGAUUCUAGAAUAACAUUUUAUAAACGUUCGUAUCUUAAUUGUCAAUUAAAUCUCUACAAGAUAUUCGAGUUUUUCUUUUGUUAUUUUAGUUUAUAGACUUGGCUAUCUCAUCUCACUAUUUUUUGAAAUUCUUGUUGUAUAACAUAUUACAUUGUAAUUGUUGCAUGAAAUGGUCAAUAAUUUGCUUGUGUUAUUUCAUUAUUGUUUCCUACAAAUCUUAAAUUAAAAAUUCAUAGAUACUAUCUUUCGAUAUUAAAAUUUUAAAUCUCAAACUAUUGGGUGAAAAGUUUAAUAUAAGCUUCUUAAACAAUAAUAUUUUGCAUCCUCCCUAUUUCCCUUCACCAAUAGAUGUGACCAUACUUGUGAAUUAUUUCAGAUGCAGACCUAUUUUGUUAGAGCACAAUGUUAUGAAUCACACUGUGGGGGUGGUAUAUACAUGAUAACAAUCAUUUAUUGUUGCUCUUAAUUAUCUCUUCUUUGAACAAGAAUACCGAGCAAGAGCUCACAUGUGUUUGGAUAGUUGCAUAUUUCAUCUUUUUUGUUUUGUAUGUUUGGUAAAAUUUGAUUAUCCAUUUGGCUACAAACUCAAAAAAAGAAAGUGUAUUUCACACAAUUGGAGAAUCAAAAGUCUCAUGUGUUUUGUGGAAGGUGGAAAUGUUUAGUCCAAAUGUAAAGAGAAUUUUGGUAUGGCCAAAAGUGAAUUGUUAUACAGAGGAAUUUGCUAUAAAACCUAAACCCACAUUCUCACUUUCCCUCCAUUCUUAUUCGUUCAUUGGUACAAACAAAAAGGAUAUUUGGGGUUUGUCUUUCUCACCCCCACAUGCCCACAUACCCCAAAACCCUCUUAUCUCCAUUUGGGCCUUUUCCUUUUUCCUUUCAUUUUAAACUUCUUAAAUUACAUUCCCCAUAAAUUACAGAGAUAAAUUUAACGUUAAUUUCAAAACAAUUUCAACUUGAUUAAUGAAAAUCCAUAUAUUUAUCUUAUACAAACUUCAUUUCAACUAAAAAAAUAACUCAUUCUAUAUAUAUUUGUGUGUCUUUCCAACUAUGCAAACAAACAAAUCAAUACAUAAAAGAAUCUUUAAAUAGCCCCCUAGAGUUUAAACAUACCUAAUCUCUUCUAAUGUUUAACGUUUUUAUAAUGAUAAGUGAUUCAUUCAAAAUUGAAGGCUAAAAAUCAUGUUAUUGAAAAACUUUUAGAUGAAUAGAAUCCUUGGAUUUGGGGUUAUUUGAGCCAAUGAGAUUAUAUUAGCUAAAGCUCUAUAGAUAUAAAUGGGAGGAUGGAGGUUUAAACUCGUAGCUUAAGAGAGAUAAGACGUGUUAAUUAUGAUUAACUAAGGUAUACUCGUUUUGGAGUUAAUUAUUGAAUUGUUUUGUAUUCAUUCCAUAUUACCACAAUACGAUAAUGCCAUAAUACCAUAUACCAACUGAAUCCACUUUCAAAUGAAAAGAAAUGAUAUAUUAUCUAAGUCUACCCCGCAAGUGUUGGCCCUUCCUUCUCCUUUUUCCCUCUCACCUCUUAACUGCCUCCAUCUUCUUCUUCAAUAUCAAUUCUCAUCCACCUGAACACAACAAACAAACACAAAUUCCCUCAUUUCACCAUUUCUCUCUUAAUCUUGAUGGGUCCUCACUCUGAUUUCAAAUCCCAUUUAGCCUCUGAAAUCUCCUCCUUCUCUUCCCUUACAGUUUCUUGCCCUCACCGCCUUUUCUCCCCUCCUUUCAUCGAUUGGUAUCGCCUUUUUGGGGUACGUUUUUUUCUUCCCCUUUUUCUCUUGUGGGGUUUCUUUAUUUUCUUCCCUUCUCUCUUAAUACAUUCUCAUAGGUCCAACAAGACGCUCCAAUCGAUUUCAUUCGUAGCCGAUAUCUUAAGCUUGGUGGGUUUCGUUUUAUUUUUUUCUUUUCUUAUUUCUCACUAUUGUCAUUUCGUUUUGUUUUUGUUUUUGUUUUUCAAUCAUGAAUGUGCUUUUGAUUUGCAGCUCUCCAACUUCAUCCAGAUAAAAACUCACACCCCAAGGCAGAAAUCGCCUUCAAGCUUGUCUCUGAGGUUCGAUUCCAUUCAUUUUCUUUGAAACCCAACUUCCUGUCCUAUUUAUCUGUUCUACAUUUUCUUUUUUUUUUUCAUUUUGCUUUCUAGAGGUUUUUCCAUGGCCACCCAUUGCUGUGUUUUCUUUCAUUUAAAUUCUGUUGUCAUGUACUACUCGUGAAUGUUAUAAUGAAACUUUGUGUUCUUGAGUUUAAUGCAAAAUCUUGAGAAAUGUGAGUGGGAAAUGAGGGAUUGUUUGUGUUUGUGUUUUGUGUUUGUAGGGAUAUGGUUGUUUAAGUGAUAAUGUGAAGAGAAGGGCAUUUGAUUUGGAUAGGAAGGACAAGUUUUGCGCUGAUUGUAACACAAUCCCUUAUAGAAAUUACACCUCUGCUACAAACUUGAAUGCUUUGAAUGUAUUAGGGAGUUUUCACAACAACAUUCAUGGAAGAGGUUUGAGAGAUGUGAAGGAGAGAUUGAGAGAAGAAGCUAAUGUGAUUGAGUAUUGUUUAAGAGCUAAUAAUUCUUCAACAACUACAGAAACUUCAUUAUUCAAUCCACCUGGUUGCAGUAUGUUUCAUCACAGAAACUACAAAGAAACCCCAAUCUUCAAUCCUUCUGACUAUGUUUGUCAAGGCUACCCUCAUUUCCGAACAAGAAUCCACCCAAAACCGCAGAGUUUUCGAUGUUUUAGAAGUGGAAAUGCAUUGAAGUAUGAACAAGGUAGAGGGAAGUGUGAAUAUCCAGUGUUUGAAAUUAGUAGUAAUAGAUCAGAAAGUUUCCUUUUACAGAAACAAUCUGCUUUUGUUUAUUCAAAUGUUAACAAAUCAUCACAUUGGUGAAACUCAGCUGACUUCCAUAUCCAUUCAUUGCCAUUUUUUUUCUUCUUUUCUGGGGAAAUUUAAAUAAAUUCUAAUUCUUUCAAAAGUUUUAUUAUUUAUUUUUCAAAUUAAAGCAAAAUUCCCUCUGUUUUUUGAAUUGGAGGGAAAGUGAAACACUUUCGAAUAACAAUUCUUUCUAAAUGUAAUAUGAUUAGUUCAAAUCUUUAAUAAAGAAAGUGGGUAACAAGUUUUCUUUUUGGAACUUGGGUUUUGUUUUUAGUUUAAUCAUAGAGAUUUAUUAUUAUUAUUUUAGAAAAAUAUAUACUAUUGUUGUAAUGUGUUCACAGUGUUUAAUGAUGGAGAUUUCUAAUGGGUCAAGUCAAUGUGAUGGUAAAGUUUGAUAAAAGUGUAUUGGAGUGAAAGGCUGAGUUGAGGAAUGUGGGGUAUUUUCUCACCAACUUGAUCAUCAAACUCAAAUUCCAUCAUUCUUCAUUUUCUUAAUCUUUUGUUUUCAGGAUUAAAACAUGUCUAUAUAUCAAACAGUUGAACCCUUAAAUAAAUAUAGUUUUUCUUUCAUUAUCAUUUUAUUUUUGAAAAUUAAUAUACCCAUUCAAAUGUUAAUUCUUUUAGAACAAUGAUGAUGAAAUAAUAACCUUGUGGUUACUCAAUUUCUUUUAUUGUUUGGGCAUGUCUUUUCUAUUUUGUUCUUAACGUUGGUAGAAAAAUUGAAAGAUGAAAAUAGGACAAAAAAAAAAAAAAGGAGAAGAAGAAAAUUGGAAGUAAUUAGAUUUUGGUUACUUAUCUAUAACUUUUUAUAUUUUCAUUUCACUUAAAUUAACAACUUAAAGAAAUUUUACAUUUACCAUUUUGGGUUGUUGGUUGAAAACCUUAUAAAGUAUGGUAACAAUCCAAAAUGAUUUGAAUGUCUCAUGGUUUCUUCAAAUUUGUAUCAAAAACAUGUGCCAAAAAUACUCUAUAAAGAGAUUGGGAUUCAUGCUCUUACAAGAAUGUUUUGUAAAAUAAGGAAAUAUUGAUCCCCAUGUGCUGCACUUUAACAAAAAAAAAAAAAAUCAGUGGUUAAGAUUUGUUUAGUAAUUAUUUUGCUUUUUUCUUUUUAAAUUAAGUUUUUUUACAUUACUUUGUAUGUUCUUUAAUUUGUAAGUCAUUUCCUAAAACAAACUACUUUGAAAACAUGGUUAAAAAGUUAGAUAACAAAUAUACAAAAUCUAAGGAUAGGUCAUUUUAAAACACAAAAAUACUUAAACUACUCUUUUGAAAUGUUAAAUUUCAUCCUUUUAACUUUAAAAUUGUUUUAUUCUAUAUCACUGAAGAUUUUUUUCUUAAAAUGAAAGACACAAAAUUUAAUGUAUUUUAAUGUUUAAAAAUUAGUUGUAUUUUAAAUCCUUAAUCAUUAUUUCAUUGGAACUGAUUUACAACAGUUUCAAAGAUUUAAGGUUAAAAUGGAAAUUAUUAAGGAUACUUUGCCUCUUAAUGUAUUUUUUAUUUUGGUUUUGGUGCUUUUUUUUCUUCUUCUGAAAAAUAGUCCCUUCCUUUCUAUUUUUAUUUAAUUUAAGAGAAGAAAACGAUGAAUUUAAAAUAUGAAACCAAACAAUUUUUUAAAAUAUAUAGAUCGAAAUAAACUAACGUAUGUUGACCAAAGUUAUUAUUUUUAAAUUACACAAACCAAAAAAUGCACCAAAACCGAGAUAAAAAAAUACAAUUAUCAAAGUGAAGGUAGUAUUUUUAAACCGAACAAAAAUUACAAAUAAACUUUUUGCAUUAAUUAUAAUUAUGAAUUUGUUAAAUCAUUUAUUUUUCCAAACAAAUUCAUAUUUUUUCUCAAAUAUAUUUUCUUAUUUCGAACAAAAUAAAAAUUUUAAACUUUUUUUCCCUUUUUUUAACUCCAAAAUCAUUAAACAAACCUUAUAUUGUUCACGUAGAAAAGGUUAACUUUUGAGUUUGCACGAAAAUGUAAAAAUAACCCUCAAUCAAUGAAUGACCAGUGACCAAAUCAAUUGAAUUUAAGGCAAAAUGAAUGAACAAAUUAGAAAGCCUAAUACGUAAUUCCAAGUAUGAAAUUUGAUAAAUACACCAAAAUGAUUGAGGAUGGUGUGUGUGUUGGAUUUUGAACCUUAAGAUAACUACAACUUUGUAAGCUACAAAAUUGCUUCCAAUCUGGUUGAGCUUUUGACUAUGAUUCAGGUAUAUAACUGCACACUAAACCUUUUUUUCUUAAGAUGAAUUCAACCGUUUUAGAUGUUUAUUCGAUUGAAUAAUUAGAGUUUAACAUGAUCGUGGUUAAUAAGCUUAUGUUUGGAAUAUAAAGUUAUAAGAUAUUUGUAAAAAGUAAGAUAAAAGUUAUUUAGUAAAUAUAGAAAGUAAGGGUAUAAUUAAAAGGAAGCUUUUCUUAAACAAAAAUAAGGAUUUACUCGAUAAAUGUACAAGUUCAAUAAGAAUUUAGUAUUGAAGUUAAGUUGUUUAAAAUAAAUAAGUUAAAUAUUUUGUUUCAUCAAAAUUAAUUUUAAAAAUGAUAAAAUUGAUUUUGACCCUUUUAAAUCACUCAUAAAUAUGUUUGUUAUUUAAAUGAACUCAUUUGAAUUAGAAGUUUUAUCUUUCUAAUGACUUUCUAUUCAUGAUUCUAAAUAUCAUUCAUACAAGAUUUGAAAAAUGUAUUAGACAAAAUUUCAAAUGUUGGACAAACAAACAAAUGAAACUUUGAUUCACUGUUCAAAGUCUUCAUUUCCUUACAUUAUUUACAUUAUUUACAUUAUAUAAUUAAAAUUAUAAUUUGCUAGUCCCAUCACUACAACCAUAUUGAUAUUAAAGUAUUAUUGUUAACAAAAACAAAUUUAAUGAAAUCAAAAUGAUCCAUUAUCAAUUGGUAGUCCCAUCACUACACCACAUAAUUAAAACUUUCAUUUUUAGGAAAGUUUAGACACAAAAGAUUAAUAAUUUCGGAAAGAAAAUACAAAGAAAUCCCCAAUUAUGAAGGCCAAGGGGGUUGUAAUUGUUUUAAUUUUGUGACCUCAAAAUUUGAUUAUUUGUGUUUGAAAAAUUGAAUUAUUGGUCCCAUUGGGGAAUUGAUGUUGAUGUUAGAAGAGAACAUGAACAUGGGGAGGCCAAAGUAGCACAUGAAACUACAUAGAGAGAGAGAGAGAGAGAAAAUAAUAAUAGGGAUUGAAUUGCAAUUUUUUUGGACCCUCAUUUGAAAGCUAAGAUUUUGAAGUUUUCCAAAUGAAGACAACAAAAUAUCAUAUACCAAUUUUUGCUACCAGGGCUUUCAUUCUUCCACAAUUCCCAUCAUACCCCUCUCCCCCUUACCUUAUUUAUCCCCAACAUUUUCCCUUAAUUUCAUUCCUUUCCACAUUUUUUUUUUAAUUAAUUGACCAACGUUACAUUUUAUCUUAUUCAACUUUAGCACUCAAAUUUUCAAAUUUAUAUCGUUAUAAAUUUUUAAAAAUUUAAAGUUAACUAUAGUUGAAGAGUAUAUUUUAGCCUAGCACAAGAUAAUAAAAUCUCUUUCUAAAAUUAUACAUUAGAUUAAAUCAUGGUUGGUAGAAUUGAAAUUUUGACAUAAACUAAUAAUUAAUGUUAUAAUUAACUUGAGUAAUAGAAUUUUGUGUGAAGCAAUAAAUUUGGUUGUCAGUUUGUUGAAGAUUGCUAAAGUAUAUUGUUCAUAGGUCUUUGUACCUUGUAUGGUAGAUACUCCACCAAAAGAAAAAAAAAAACUUGUAGAAAUUAAAUUACAGAUUGUGACUUGUUCUUAUAUGUGUAAUUAUUUAUUUGUUUGUUUUGUCUUUUCCAAAAAAAAUCCAAUAAUCCAAAACCAAUUUUUCUUCUUAAAUGAAUAAUAAUAAUAAUAAUAAUAAUUCAUGUCUAUAUUCUAUUGCUUUUCCUUUCCUAUACAUUUCAUUCUACAAAUUAUUCUAAUUCCUCUCUUCUAUUUGUGGUUCAGUUCUUCAAACCUUAAAUUUAUUAUUAAUCAAAUACCAUAUAGGGGCAUCUUAAUUUCAAUUUGAUUUUUAUACCCAUUUGAUUAGUCUAUAUAGCUUGAUCAAACUUUCUUGUCAUUGCAAAUUAGUAUCAUAUUAAUUAGUUAUCAUUUUCCUAUAUUAUAUUAAAUUGUGUUAGUUGAUUGUAUAAGUUAAAAUAUAUUAAAUAUGGGGCACUGUGGAUAUUUAUUAAGCAAUAAAUUAUUGUUUUUAAUUAUUGUUUAUUGUGUUAGCUCGUUGUAUAAAAUUGGGUUACUAGUAUGAACAAUAAAUUUGUAGGUAAAUCAUAGGUUAAAAAGUAUUAGAAACCAAACCAAAUGUAAUUCUUAUCUCAUUAACUAAAUUUUGUCAAAAGCAUAGCAAAAUUUGAAGAUUUAAAAGUAAGAAAAAUUGAAAGUUUAAAAGAUGUAAUUGGUAUGAUGAUUUUAGGGUCAAGAUUAGAUAUGGAUAUAGAUUUAGAUUUUAUAUAUUUAAUUUACGAUGGAUAGCUAAAAUUAGGGUUGCUGUAGUAACAUGUGGGUAUGUCUGUGAUAGGGGGAAGCUCCCAGCAAUGGAAACUGUCUAUCUUUGAAUGAACCCUUUGCCCUUCAUUGGUCCAUUUUCAAAUUCCCCACCACCCAUCACUCUCUCUCUCUCUUAUAUUUAUAAUUUUCUUUUUAUACUUUUUAUAUUUAUUUUACCAUUAAUAUCUCAUUUAUUUCCACCUUUUAAAAUUAUUAUUCAUAUCAUAUGUAAUGUAUGAAUGAUAUCUAUAUCCAAAUAAUUCAAUUCAUUCAUACAUAAAUCUGUCACUCUUCAUCUUCAUUUCACUUCUUUGCUCUCCUUAAUUCAUACCCCCAUUUCACUUAUCCCUCCAUGUAUAUUUUCCCACAACACUUUGAACUCUCUCAAAACUCUGGGUCCUAGUUUCUUGCAAUUAAAGAGAGAGAGUAGAUGAGAGGAACUUAGUUAUUUCAACAUUGUUCUAGAUUUUUUCUUUUUGUUAUAAACUAGUUUAUUUAUCUCAAACUUAUGAACUUUGCUAGCAUUAUAUUAUUGUGUAUAUAUGCAUGCACACUAUGUAUGCAUGUUUAUCUAAAUAAAAUUUUUAUAGAGUAAAAGGUCCUCAACUAUGUAUAAACUCAUGAUGUACAUGUAUAUUAAAAAAGACGGGGAUUUUGAAAUUUUGCUUUGAGAUUUUUUUUUCUUUUUUAAAAAAAUGAAUAUUAAAAGUAGGAUUUAAAAAUGGUAAUUGGAUGAUGGUAUAGAGAAAUGAAUGGUGGAGAUGAAAUGGUAAAAGAAAGAAGGUGUAUUUUGAAGAUAAUAAUAAUAGUAUAUGAAAUUCAAAGUGUCCGUUGGUCACCUCUUCUUCUUUUUCUUUUCUUUCUUCUUUUCUAGAAAAAUCUAAAUCAUUUUAUCUCUUUGUUGUGGUCAUUUUAAAACAUUCAAAUUAUCAAUAAUUCAAACUUUGUUAUAUAUUAUUAUAUGAUUCAAACUCACAAAGUUAACCAUUUUAACACUAAGUCUGGUUUCUGAAUGUCUAAAUGUCAAUUCUCUUUCAGAUUUUGCUUUAAAUUUUCUGCUUUUUUAAUGUAUGCUUCCUAAUAAUUUUUUUGGAGAGAAUUAAACAAAACUAUUAAAAAUAUAGCAAAUUUUCAUAUUGACACAUUAAUAAAUUUCUAUUUUACAAAUACAGAAUCUUAUUAUACUUUAUAAUUAUUUUGUUUCAUUGUAUUUGAAAAUGUUUCUAAAUUCUUGUUGUGUAUAUGUAUAUAUGUUUGGUAUUUGGCUAUAUGGGUGGCAGUUAGAUGUGAAUGCUCAUGUAAUUUAAUUUUACAAACUUUAUAUUUCUAUAUGUAUUUAUUUCAUGGUAUUCAUGCCAACACAAAAAUUAAAUACGAGAAAUUAUUUUAAAUGAUAUUUUUUUAAAAAAUAUUUAUAAAUAAAAUAAUAUAACAUAAUCUCUUCUAUCAAAAUACAUAUAAUAAUCUAUUACGAUCUAUCAUAAAUAAACUAUGAAAAUAGUUUUUCUAAUCUCGAUUAUUUAAGUGAAAUAUAUUCACUCUCAACCACUAAACAAUUAAUAUCAUUCCGUCUAAAAUAUUUUAUCACAUGAGAUAAGGGAUUGAACUCUUUGUAAAAUUUUAAAAUAGAAUAACUCAAACCUAAAAUUUUAAACAGGUCUUCAUUGUUUAGAGUUCAAAUUAAAAAAUAUAUAUUUUUUUUACUACUUAGAAAGUCAUAAGUUGAUAACAUAGCAUUUUUCUCCAUACCUGAUCUGACAAUCAUCAAGUUGUUAAUAAUGGUUAAAUAUUAUAAGUAUGUAGUAAUUCUAAACAUUGAGCAAUACUUGGUGUGUAUGAUAUUUCUUUUAAUUAAUAAACCUUUCAUCUAUUUUAGAAUGACUCAAAUGGUGAAUCCAAUAUAAACCAAGUUUGUAAUUAAACUGGAAAAGGAAUAUAUAGGCACACUCAGAAAGGUGUUGUUGACAGACAAUGUGUAUUUUUAAUAACCAAAUAUAAAAUGAUUGAAUGAAAUAAAAUGAAAGAAAAGAAAAAGAAAAGGUUUUAUUUUGUGUGGAUGGGUGUAUGUAUAUAUUUGGUAUGGUAGUUGAAGACAAACAAGAAAAGGCAAUGGACAGAGGGUGUCCUCUUCCAUUAUCAUGUACUCCUUAUUUUGUAAUAAAACACACACCAAUUAUACUUAAUUCUUCCUUUAAUUAUGUUUUCAUUCUCUUUCUCAAUUAUUGUAAUCAUAACUUGUUUAGGGGGUGACACAUUUUGGUGUUUCUUACCAUUUUUAUCCCAUGCUAAUAGAUGAAUAAUACAAAAAAAAAAAAAAAACCUUGGGAGUGGAAGCAUUAUAUUCUCUUUAGGAAAAAAGAAAAAAGAAAAUCACAAUUGAAUAGGAUUUUACGUUUAGAGAUCAAGUGAGAGAGAGGUGUAUAGAGUGAAGGAGACGAGUGGUAGAAACAAAUUAAAAGAUUGGUAGAGGCUGGUAAAAGAAGAAGACUAUUGGUAUAUUAUUUUGUCAUUUAAUAAUAUUUGCUUUACCAAAUGAUUGUUUCCAACAUAUUAAAUUGAACUAAUCCUCCAUUAAUAUACAACAACUCAAAACUCCAUUAUAAAUUUGUCAGGAUUAAAACAAAUUAGGACCAAAACGAAACACAUAAUCAUCUUUCAAAUUUGAAUACUAAGAAUAAAUUUGAAAUAAAGACAUAAACAUAAACCAACAAAAUUCAAAUUUUCUAUCCUUCUUUCUUUCAUUUUCUGAUAGUGAUUUAACCUUCACUCUCAAGAAAUUCUCUAUUUAUGCAUUUAAAUACUUGGAUAUUUUAAAUAAACCACAUGAUAAUAUCAACCAUCAAAUGUUUGAUUGAUUUAUUUAUUUUUCAAUUAAAAAAAAAGUACCAUAAACAUUAAAUACUAAACCAACCAAUAUAUAUUUAGUCAAAAAAAUAAAAACAAUAAUUGCAAAUCUAUAACACCAAGAGGCAUCCAAGAAAAAUCCAAAAGAGAAAAAGAAAAAAAAAAAAGGCCAUUAUUGUAAAUGUGCAUGUGCUGAUGUGUUUUGACAGCCUGUAGUCCGAUUCAUCGACGACCCACCACCGCCGCCGCCACCGCACAUCGGAAUCAAAACGGUCCAACUUUCCGGCGGACUAAACCAAAAUUUGAUAUUUCUUUUCUAAAAAAACCCAAACAUUCGGCCGUUCGUUCCAGGGAAUCUCUAAUAAAUAUGGUAGAAAACAAAAACCUCAAAUAUUAAACAAAACCUACGUUUUACACUUUGGGAUUAAUUAAAUAAAUUAAUCACUUUAACUCACACCUUAUUGUUGAUUUUUUUUUUAAAAAAUAGAAUAUAAUUGGGUGGGUGUUGAGCUUCACAUAGCUGGCUGCUUUUAGAAUUGAGUAAUAUAUAUAUAUAUAUAUAUAUAUAUAUACACAUAUUAUAAAAAUAAUAAUAUAGAAAGAGACAAUGAAAUGGAGCCCAAAUAUGGACAAAAAAUAAUUCAGGCCAUUUCUAUAAAUCUAAAUAUCUGAUUCCAUGCCCCCUAAAGCACACUCUAAUCUCAAUUUUCCCUCUUUAAUUUCCCCUUACCUUUAUUUAUUUUUAUCAUUCUCUUUCUUUUUUUUUUCCUUAAUCUUUGAGUGAUUUCACACUUCAAUUAUUUAAUCCAAAAUUUUAAUUUCAUUUGAGCACCUCAAAAUUAAUUCAAUCAUAUUACAUAAAUGGAGUUGGUUAUAAUGAAUUUUAUCUUGUUGUUCUAGCUAUUUGAAGUUUUUGGUUCAAUCUAGUUAGAUUAUGAAAAUAGAUAGACAUUGUUUCUCUUUUUUUGAUAUUACAUAUAUAUAUAUAUAUAUAUAUAUAUAUAUAUAUAUAUAUAUAUAUAUAUAUAUAAAAUGUUAUUGAAACAUCAUCUUGCAUUUAGGACCCUCAUAAGAACAAUAAAAAAAGAUGUAUGUAUAUAUUGAUAUAGUCAUAAGAAUAUGUUCCUCCUUAUCAAUCAUUUUGUCAAAGCAUAAUUGAUGGAUAUGGAAAUUAAAUAUAUAUAUAUUUUACAUUUUGAUUGAAUUAUUAUACAGUUGUAUCCUAAAUUAAAGAAAGCUUGUACUUUGUUCCUUCUAAAUGUUUAAGUUUGAUAUAAAUGAAAAGGAAGAUAUUUAAACAUAUAGGUAUAAAAAUAGAGAUUUGAUUUUGCAUUAUAACAAAGUUGAAAAUAGAAGUCUGAACAUUUUGAUUAUAGUCAUGAACAUCAACUAUAUAUUAGCCUAAAUAUGAAUAUUUUGAUAAUAAUAAUACAAAAAAAGAAAAAAAGAAAAAAAGAAGAGAGAGUAGAAUAAAUGUAUAGGUAGAUAGAAUUAUAUAUAUAUAUAUAGUGAUGAGGAGUGAGGAGUGAGGAGAGGGAAUUGAAGUAGAAAAGGAGAGAAAAGAAAGAAAUGUAAAAUAGUAAAAAAGGGAAAAGAAAGAAAAGAAAAGAAAGUAAUGAAAGAGGAGGGAAGAGGGUGUGGAAGAAGAUGUUAAUGUUAUUCGUUAGUGUGUGAGUGUUGGGUGUUGGUGUUGGGUGAUUGUUUGUUGUUCUGUCAAGUGAUUGAUGCCAGCCUGGCAUCUCCGCUAUCAUUGAUUCAGGGACCCACUCUCCUUCUGUCAUCCCACAUGCCCUCUCAUUGCCCCCAUCCCAUGCACUCCCAAAUCCAACUCCAACUCCAACUCCAACUCCAACUCCUCCUCCAAACACCUCUCCCUUCAUUUCCUUUCCUUUCCUUUCCUCCUCUCUUUUCCUUCCACGUUUCCCCCUCUCUCUCACCCAAUCAUCACUCUCCACCUAUAUACCUCCUCCUACUGCUUCACAUUUACCCUAAAUAUAAUAAACACAUCAAACCCAAACACAUAUACGUAAUUUUCCAAAUUAUCUCUGUUUUUCUUUCAUACUACAUUAACAUACAUUUUAUUCAUUUUAUUCAUUUUUAAAAAAUAAAAUAAAGAUUACAGUAUAGAGACAUAACAUAACACACUUUCUCUCUUUCUUCUCAAAUCCUCCUGUGAUGGAGGGCCGUUUCAAACAAUUUUGUCGGCGACAGACGUUAUUAAUCAUAUUCACAACCCACACACACUCACACCCUAAUUCCCAAUUACUUCUAAUUAAUUCUAUUCCUUUUUUUCAAAAAACAAAAAUUAAUUCUUUCUUCUUCUAAUCUAACAAACUAACACCAAAGGGCACAAUUUCUUCACCCAAAUUCUCCUCUCCCCCUCACUUUUUUUUUCUUUUUUUUUUUAAUUUUCUCUCUCUUUGUGUGUUGUGUUUGUGCAUUUAGAAAGCUGUCAUUUCAUUUCUCUAUACUGUCCUUCCCUUUCUUUCUUUCUUUCUUCCUUCAUUCACAAUUCCCUUUUGUAAGUUUAUUAUUAUUAUUCAUUUUUGUAUCGCAUUUAUAUCAUUAAUGCUUAUUAUCUCCUCCAAUACCCAUUUUCAUUUCCCUCCUUACUCUCUUACUUUCUUCUUCUUCUUCUUCUUUUUUUCCUUUUUUUUUUUUCUUCCUUUUUUUCUUUUUCCGGCUUCAGCUUCCUUCUCCCUCGCCGAUUUUCGCUGCCUUCCUUCCCCUUCUCCUUCGGCGUUUUGGAUUCUGCAUCUCGUUUUUCUUUUCUUUUUGGUCAUUGUCGUCUCUGGCUUUGACCAAUGAGGAUGCUGCUAGUAAGUACGUUUCUUUUUAUCUGGGUUUUUUUUCUUCUUCUUCUUUUCUCAUUCUAUAUACUACUACUACUCGAUUCUUUUGUUCUACGAAUCUUUCAACCCCAUAUGCUAUUUUCUGUUGAUUUCUGAACAAACCCUUUUCGUUUUUCUUUUUUUUUUUUUGAUUGUGUGUGUGUGUGUGUUUUUUUUUUUUUUUUGUGGGUUCUUACUCUUGUUUUUCAAUGUCUUCCAGCAUCAUCAGUUUACCUCGGGUUCUUUCUUUUUGCUCUGUUAUCUAUGUUUUUCUUUACAGAUGGUCCAGAAACCCUUUUUGACUUUUCGUGAUUUGUAUUCUCCCUUCUCUUCCGCUAUUACCCUUUUUCCCCUUCUCUCUCUCUCUUUCUCUCCUCUCCUUGAACAUUUCCUUGAUGUUGAUUUUCUGGCAGGUUUCAAUUUCUAGAUUUGAUAUCCUUCUGCAUUUUGUUACUUUCACGUUAUUGAUUUCUCUAAUUGUUGAUUCUAUCUCUCUUUGAUCUGCUUUUCUUCUUGUGGGAUUAGUUUCAUAUUCAUGUAGGUGUUUUGAUUUGCAAGUGGUUAUGUCAAUCACUUUAUUUUUUUCAUUUAUUCUCGAACUUGAAUCUGCAAUUGUGGGGAUUUGCAAAGUUUUUGUUUUUCAAUGUAGUUAUGGUUCUAGGUGUAUUUGGCUUCCUUUCUUUGUUGUCUAUCUCUUGUAGUUGGUUGAUUUAAUCAAUUCACGGUGUUGCCCCUAAGUUUCUUUCUUUUGGUUUUUUUUUUUUUUUUUUUUUUUUUUUUUUUUUCUGUAGGUGGCAUUGCUUUUGUUUCUACAAUUGAGCAAUGCUGCAAAAAUAAUCGGUGAAGAGCUCGUGGGACAGUGCGAUUCUAAACCAACAUUAGAUCCAAGACCACACAGUGUUUCUAUCUUGGAGUUUGGGGCUGUUGGAGAUGGCAAAACUCUCAACACCAUUGCCUUCCAAAAUGCGAUUUUCUAUCUUAAAUCCUUUGCUGAUAAGGGUGGAGCUCAGCUUUAUGUUCCACCUGGAAAAUGGCUUACUGGAAGCAUUAAUCUUACCAGCCACCUUACUCUUUUCCUGGAAAAAGGUGCUGUGAUUCUUGGCUCUCAGGUAUGUUCUUCUUCAUGGAUUGGUGCUCAAACAAGUAGUUGUUUGAAGGCAUUGUUUUGAAACACAUUGAUCUUCUCUUUAACAGGACCCAUCUCAUUGGGAACUUGUCAAUCCCUUGCCUUCAUAUGGGAGAGGUAUUGAAGUUCCAGGAAAACGAUACCGGAGCUUGAUAAAUGGUUACAAUUUACAAGAUGUUGUAAUAACAGGUUUGUUGCUCUCCUAAAAUCUAACCCUUUAUUCUGAAUAUAGUUUGUGGAUAUGCAUUCCUCUGAACUAGUGAUAUCAUGUUGAUUUUGGAUGUGCUAGGUGAUGAUGGGGUCAUUGAUGGACAGGGUUUAGUUUGGUGGAAUUGGUUCAGCUCUCAUUCAUUAAACUACAGCCGCCCUCACCUCGUGGAAUUUGAGGAUUCUCAAUAUGUAGUUGUUUCAAACCUCACUUUCUUGAAUACUCCUGCCUAUAACAUUCAUCCAGUCUAUUGCAGGUAUGCUAUAACAACCAGUGAUCAGUUUCUUCUGCCUCUGCUGAUUGUGUUCACCUUGUUGAUUUGUCUAUUUGCUGAUUGUCAGAGAAUCUGUAUUGAAUAAAAGUUUUUCAUGUGCAGUAACGUCUAUGUUUACAACAUCUCUGUCUCUGCACCUUCUGAAUCUCCCUACACAGUUGGAAUAGUCCCAGGUUUGUUAUGCUUCAAUUUUCAGCAUCUCAUUGUUAUUUUGUGUGACUAUUGUUGAUGGGCUCUCUCUCACUCUCUCUCUCUCUCUCUCGUUUGUUGUGAUACAUCAAUUGGCUGAAUGGCUUGAGCACCAUUGAAGAAUCUCUCUUUUAUCUCACUUUCACAUGCACACACACAGCACUUAGUACAAAGAAGAAAAUGCCAUCAAGAAAGCUAUUAUGAGCAGUUGACUGUUAACAGAUAUGUUUAUAAACUUUAGGUACUAUCAACACUUGUUUAACAUCAUGUAAUCUUAGAAAAACAAUGCCCUCUUAUAAAAAAAAGUCCCAAUAUACCAAGUUCUUAUAUUUGGGGCCUGAGGUCUAUGGUGAUAAAUUUUACAGUAAAAUUUAAGAAACUUGGCACUGUUAAAAUGGUGACGUUGGAUUGAAUUUAGAAAUAAGAUUCUGUUAGGAGUUUAUGACGCGUAGUGGGAUGCCAUCAUGAUCAAAAGGAUUUAUUGUGGGGCGGAACAAAUUUAGACAUACAGUACAUCAUGGCUCCAUUAAUGAUCAUCAAUCCAAGAAUUAAAAUUAGUGUUUUGCAAUUUAUUCUUUCUUGUUUCUAAUUAAUGAGGUGGAGAAGCAUUCUUUUCUAAAUAAAGUUUGAUUGGUGCUUUCAGAUUCCUCUGAUCAUGUAUGCAUAGAGGGCUGCAACAUUGCCACAGGAUAUGAUGCCAUUGCCUUGAAGAGUGGUUGGGAUCAGUAUGGUAUUGCCUAUGGCAGACCAUCUAAAAACAUACACAUUAGAAGGGUCCACCUUCAGUCAUCUUCAGGUUCUUCCAUUGCCUUUGGUAGUGAGAUGUCUGGUGGGAUAUCUAAUGUUCUUGUGGAGCAUGUACAACUGAACAACUCAUUUAUUGGCAUUCAAAUUAGAACUACCAAGGGAAGAGGGGGUUACAUUAAAGGAAUAGUUGUUUCGGAUGUUGAAAUGGAAAACAUAUCGACGGCAUUCAGUGCCUCUGGUCACUUCGGGUCACAUCCGGAUGAUGAGUAUGAUCCUAAUGCUCUUCCAAUUGUGCAGGACAUAACCUUACAGAAUGUGAGAGGCACCAACAUUAAAAUUGCUGGAAACUUUUCUGGGAUACAAGAAUCUCCCUUCACUUCAAUUUAUUUAUCCAACAUUACCUUUUCAAUCAAUUCAUCUUCUUCCACUUCUUGGAUCUGUUCAGAUGUUUCUGGCUUUUCAGAAUCUGUGAUCCCCCCACCCUGUUCUGAUCUCAGUACUCCAUAUUCAAUUUCUUCCUCAGCAGCCUCUCCCCUUGUGAAUUCAACUGGAAAGACUGCUGUUUUAUGAAAACCCUUUCCUUUCCAAGGGUACACCAAUAUAUAUUUCAACCCCCAUUCUACAUGAGGGAAAAUACCAAAACUUUCAACCAUUGCCUUCUCCAAGUCAAGCCAGAUUCUUUCAAAUAAAAACCACAUGUCUAGAUUACUUGUUUCUUCAUUCUCUUAGAUUUGCUUUCUUCCAUGUUGCACUCUGCAGAUUUAUUUGUACAGUUCCAUUUCUUCAUUCACGUGUAAGGAAAUUUUUGGUAGUGAUUUUACAGGUCUUUUGGUAUCGUUUGUGUUGCUUUUUUAAAUUAUUCCCACUCCCUCCCCCUCUCCUCAAGAGCUUGGUGCAUUGUAAUUUCACUGUAAAUUGUUCAUUUGUUGUGAAGGGCUGAAAGGAUAAAACUCUAGUUGAUGUGAAAAGCAAUUCAUGUGGAGCCAAGUGAUUGGAAUAAAGGGAUCUUGGUGACACUCUACUGCUUGUUUAGUAAAUUAAGAUGGGUGUUUUUUUUUCCAAUUCAAGUAUACAUUUUAUUUCUCUUCCUCUUCCUGUUAUGUUUAUUAAUGAAUCAUCCUUUCUGGUCAUUUCCUUCCGUAAUUUUUUAUCUACUGCUUGAGUGCUACUAUUCUUAUAAGCAUCAUGGAAUGUGAAUCAAACAAGGUUCCACAUGUCAACCUUCCACUGGCAUGCCCCUUAUUGAUGUCUGAAGUUGUUAAUGUUCUGGUGGCCUAUACAUCUGCAUCUGCCCUCAGUUGUCUGUUCAGGCUUUCUUCCUCAUAUUAAAAUAUCUUUAAUUCUUUAAACAUUAUUCUCAUGAUUGAUUUAUGUAUUACUUAUUGCUUGUUCUAAAUCUAGUAUUGGAAUCUGACGUAGGUUGCCACGAUGUAAUUGACCAGAUGUCUUAUUGUCCUUUUACAUUUUCUAUUGGUGCAACCCACUGAUAGAAUGAAAACAUUGCCUAAACAUGAUUCUUAACUCUGCUUUAGAUUGUUUUGGGACAUUUGCCAUAUGGGCCAUCAGUUUUGGAUAUAUUGGGUUCUUUUUCAUUCAGUGAUUACAUGGGCUUUUGUUCAUCAAAAUGACUGCAGAAUUAAAUUUGAAGAUUCGUUCUGGUAGGACAGAACUUCAGUUCAUUCUCUGUGAUUUGCCUGUUAUAUUUUAGCAAAUAUGAUUUUUUUGGCAAGAACAUAGUCAUUGUUUCUGUAAACAUCUGUCAGCCGUUGAAGCCUUAAAAAUCUUUACAACUUUACAAGAUUCCCCACGUCGCUAUUACAAGAAUGUUCUUCACCUGGUUUAUCAUCUAUCUACCCAUCACCAAAAGGUGAGAAUUUGGUAUCAGAUUCUUACAGCACUCCCACGUUGGGAAUCUCAUUCGUUCUCUCUUGCGUGCCCAUCAAAAAGUCUUCCUAACAUUAAAACAUUUCACCAACUCAACUAUAGGAUCUUUUACCAGAUGGGUUUUCUUUCCUCUCUUUUUUUUUCCUUUCUUUCUAUUUACUUUACAUUAGAUUACAAGCGUUCGGAUUCUCGUCGCUGAAUAUUGAUGUGAUGUUCCCAUUGCUACUGCCUGUGCCUGUGUUGUAAUAGUCUUCAUUGUAAUUGUAAAGAUCCAGUCUUGGGCUAUAAUGGGUGGUUGGCUGCUGUGGUAUGGAUUCGGAGGCGUAUACUGGGGGCCUGCUGUAUGUGAGUGGUCGGACAUACUCGGUAAUGUAUGGCGAUGGCUUGUAUGUGUUGUAGCUGUGUAUCACGGUUGCCGGCUGCAUUGAUGUCGCUCCUGGAAUGUUGUGGUGGUAGUUGUGGCUAGAGGCGUAUCUGUAUUCGGGUUGGUGGUGGUGGACUACAUGGCUUUGGCUAUAAUUUGGUGGCUGAUGGUAUUGAACCGUCUGGCUGUGAUCAGGGGGCUGGUGGGAGUAAACGGUGUGACCAUGAUCAGGUGGCUGGUUAACCAUGUGGACGUGCUCGGAUGGUUGAUGGCCUACGUGGAAGGAUUCUGGUGGUUGAUGGUGGACCACAUGGCUAUACUCAGGUUGGUGAGAGAUGACAUGGCCAGGUUCUGGUCCUGGUCCUGAUCCUUGAUGGUGGACAACAUGGCCAGAUUCUGACGGAUAUUGGUGGACGAUAUGGCCAUUAUCGGACGGCUGGUGGCUGACAUGGCCUUGUCCAGCAUCAUAUCCCCCAGGGUGUGGUGGUUGUUGGCCGUUGGUUGGAUCAAAACUACCAUCUUGAACGACCAUUUGGCCAGGUGGGGGCGCGCCACCCGUGGCCAUAUCAGUAGGACCACCACCCAUGACCAUGUCAGGAGGAGAAGGACCUGAUGAAAAAUUGGGUGGUUCACUGCCGGCCGGAGCCAUAGAAUCCGGCGGUUGGCCAGUGGGAGCAGCUUGAGGAUCCGUCUGUUCAGAAUCAGAACAAAUGGUGGCAAUCUUCCUUGUUUUCUUAAUGGCUUUCAUGAUUCUCUCAGGCUCAGCCCAUCCAAUGAUAGUGAGUUUCUGCUGGGGAAAGUCUAUGUAGAUAUCAUAAAUGCCUGCAAAAGAACAAGAAAACUCAAGAAGAAGAAGGAAAGAAAGAAAGAAAAAAUGAAAGAAAGAAAGAAAUGUAUAAAAAAGAAAGAUUAUUUAUUUUCCUUUGGCUCACCAUUAAUUCCAUACAAUGCUUUCUUGAUCUUCUGGACACAGCCAUUACAGUCCAUCCGGACCUUUAUCUCAGUAAUCUUCGGUUUCUGCAGAAAAGGAAAGUAAGUGGUAAGAACCCAAUUACAAUGGAGAUGAAAAGAAACAAGGAGAAGAAGAAGAAUACCUCAAGUUCUGGAAUCAUGAGGAGAUGAGGGGAAAGUAAAGGGAAAGAAUAUGGAGGAAAGAAGAGAGAGAGAUUAUGUGAAAGAUGAAGAAGAUCAUAAACGAAGAAUCAGAAUUGAGAGAGGCAAAAUAAAAAGAAGAGGAGAUGGGAAUAUUUAAAAGGGUGUGGGACAUGCAACGAAUCUAAUUGGAACUUGGACGACACAAAAUAAAAAAUAAAAUAAAAAUAAAACAAAUGAAUUCUUAAUACAAAAAAAAUCCAAAACCGACCAUUUUGGGAAGAAUAUAAAGCAGAGGAAAGAAAAGAAGGGGGACGUCUUGGUUUUGGGUUUUGCAUGCAUGGACUCAAACCAAUCCCUACGCCACUGUUAAUGAAACCCUCAAUGAUUCCACGUUGAAAAUAUGAGAAAACAUCACAUUUCUCUAAUACAUACUACUUAUUUCUAAACGCUACAAAUUUUGUUCAAAGGGAAAUUUUGUUAUAAGCCCAUCUCUUUGGUACUAAAAUAAAAAUUUAUAACUAUUUUGCAUGGAAAUAGUUCAAGUCUUCUUUAAUUUUGCAAUUAAUUACAAAUUACGUAAUUUCAACAUUUACACUAAUAUGCAUAUAAAUAUUGUUAUUGUUUUACUUCAAAUAAAUAAUGAUUAACAAUUGUCAAAUAAUUGGAGUUUAAUUAAUCCACAAUCAAAUAUUCGUUAACAUUGUAACAAUUUCUACCAAAAUACACACUUUCAUAAAAUUGGGAUCUCAAUAUCUUUAUCAAUAUUAAUAUUUGAAAUUUUAGGAUUUUUUUUAAAAAUAAUGUAAAAUUUGAAACAUAUUUCAAAAAUAGGGUAGUUGCAAAACUAUUUUCAAAAAUAGGUGUUUUGAGGUGAAGUCGUGGACGGGGUACACGACUUCCAUGCAGUGGCCCCCACAUACUCUAUUUUUUCCUUAUUUUUAUAUUUAUACUACACUGGGCCCCACAUUUUUUAAUUUUCUCAUUAUUUAUAUACGUGGGUCCCACACACUUCACUUUUUCUCAUUAUUUAUAUAUACAUACUCACAUAUAAUAUAAUAUAUAUAUUAUACAUUUAAAUUCUAAAAAUAUCUUUCUUUAUUAAAUUAAUUUAUUUUUUUUAUUUUUUUCUUUAUAUAUAUUUAAAUAUCACAAUCUUCAAUCUUCAAUUUUUCUUAUUAAAUUCAUUUUUCUAAUUUAAUUUAAUUCUUUCUUAAUAACAAAAUUAUACAUAUAUUUUUUUUCCAAUUUUCAAUUUUUUUAAAAAAAUCUCAUAUAUUAACAAAACAUGUUAUUAAAAAUAUAUUAAACAAAUUAAAAGAGUAAUAAUAAUAAUUGAGAUAAGUUAAAAUUACUAAAAAAAAUAAUAAUAAUAACACUUGAAGCCACACACAUUGAUAAUUGAAUAAAAAGAAAUUCAUGUUUAUGGUAAAAGGAAAAAAACAAGAAUUGGUUCGAUUACAAAUUAAAUUUAAAAACUUAAUGGAUAAUUUUGAAUUGCAAAUUUAUUGUUAUUAUUAUUUUUAGAGUACGUUUCAACUUCUUUCAAUUACUAUUAUUAUUUUUAUUUGUUUAAUGUAUUUUUUAAUAACAUAUUUGGUUAAUAUAUGUGUUUUUUUAAACAGAAAAUUAGAAAAAGAUAUAUAUAAUUUUGGUUAAGAAAUAAUUAAAUUAAAUUAGAAAAGAUGAAUUAAUAAGAAAAUUUGAAGAUUGAGAUAUUAAAUAAAUAAAUAAUAUAUAUAUAUAUAUAUAUAUAAAUUAUUAUUAUUAUUACUCUUUUAAUUUGUUUAAUAUAUUUUUAAUAACAUGUUUUGUUAAUAUAUGAGAUUUUUUUAAAAAAAAUUGAAAAUUGGAAAAAAAAUAUAUGUAUAAUUUUGAUUAAGAAAGAAUUAAAUUAAAUUAGAAAAAUGAAUUUAAUAAGAAAAAUUGAAGAUUGAAGAUUGUGAUAUUUAAAUAUAUAUAAAGAAAAAAAUAAAAAAAUAAAUUAAUUUAAUAAAGAAAGAUAUUUUUAGAAUUUGAAUGUAUAAUAUAUAUAUUAUAUUAUAUGUGAGUAUGUAUAUAUAAAUAAUGAGAAAAAAUGAAGUGUGUGGGACCCACGUAUAUAAAUAAUGAGAAAAUUAAAAAAUGUGGGGCCCAGUGUAGUAUAAAUAUAAAAAUAAGGAAAAAAUAGAGUAUGUGGGGGCCACUGCAUGGAAGUCGUGUACCCCGUCCACGACUUCACCUCAAAACACCUAUUUUUGAAAAUAGUUUUGCAACUACCCUAUUUUUGAAAUAUGUUUCAAAUUUUACAUUAUUUUUAAAAAAAAUCCGAAAUUUUAUAAACUAUUAAUCCCUAUUGUGAUUUGACCAUGGUAUGAAAACUCUAUAUAUUUUUUCUUUUUGGUAAUAAAAUAACAAUGGUCAGCUAAGUUAAUUCAAAGGUGCUUUUUACAUAUAAAUAUUGGUUUGAUCUGCUUUAUAUUAUUCUUCCUAAUCCAUGGGUUUGGCUUACAAGGUUUCAAUCUUAGCCAUCCAUCUCUAGGAGUUUCAUGCCACUCUGGACUUGGAAUCUACACAUACUGUCUCUAUAUAUUUAUUUAUAUGUAUUAAUAUGCUUUUGAGUCUUUAUUUUCUUUUACUAAUUAAAAAUACGAGAACAAAGUUGCUAAUAUAAACAAUAACCUCCAAAUUCUUAAUAGAUACAUUAUAAUGUUAAAGAAUUUACAAAUAUAACAAUUCCGUUUAUUACUAAUACUUCAUGUUUUUUUCGUGAAUAGAUUAUUUGACUAUAUUUGUAAUUUUUUUAAAAAUGUUAUAUAUUUAAUGAUUAAUUUUAGAAGUUUUACAAAAAUGACGAUUUAAUGGGUUCUAGCACAAACCCACGCUAGUGUGUGCAUCGUUUGCAUACACAAGCUAUCACGCUUGUCAUGUUUAGCUCCACAAGUUUAAAGUCAUUCAUUUUUACUUAGUCAUCAAAGCAUAUGGAAUGUUUUCAACGAUGAGAUAAGAACAACUUCUCUUUUAGGGAUUAACCAAAAAGGUAAUUUAUUCGAGACUAUCUUUCGUCGAGUCAUAUGGGGUUGACUUGAAGAUGUCGAUAUCUAUGUUAAGUUGAAAUUUGUGUAGGUAUAUAUAAACUUUCUAAGCUGUAUAUAUUAGACUAUGCAUUUUAAAAACCUUUCAUUUGAAUUCACCAACUUUCAAUUCCAUAUUUAAUAUGACUUUACCUUUAAAUUGUUUAAUGGUUCUUAGGUAAUAUAUUCAACAAAGCUAUGUGGAAGUAUAUAUUAAAUUGACGACAACUAAUAUAAGAACUUAGUAUAUGUAUAUUGAAACAAAUAAAAUGAAAUGUUUAGGAGUGUUAAAACUUUUUAAAAUUAAAGUAUUAAGAUUAGAUAGACACAAGACAAAGGCUUAUUAAAAAAACUUCAAAGUAUAAAGAUUUAUAUGUUCUAAACUUUCAAGUAUUUUUUUCUUCUUCAAUUUUUAUUUAGCCAAACAAUUAUAUAAGCGUAUGAUCAUAGUAGUUUCGAGAAUAUUAUGUUGCAUAUGGGUCUAAUUUUUAAGAAAAAAAGUCAAAAAUAAUAUAACCUUUAAGUUUUACUUGUGUCGGCCGAAAAAAAAAAGCUUGUUGAUUUUAAUCAAUAAGAUAAAUUACAAAUCUAGUUUCUACAUUUUGAAACUACUACUCGAUUAGGCUUUUAAACUUUAAAAGAUGUAGUAGGUCGUUAGAUCCAAUUAUUUGUAUAACAUUUAGUUGAUGUUUAAAAUUAACUAGUAGAUAUUUGAAUGCCAUUUAAUUUUCUUUUUCUUUAAUACGAAUGACAUUUAAUUUUAUAUCAAAUAGUUUGUAAUCCAAACUAAAACCUAGAGUUAAAAGUGUUAAAAGUAUAAAGAUCAAAAGUUAAAAUAGGUUUUUUUUUUUUUUUUACUUAAAUAUAAGUAAUUGAUAAAAAGAAAUUAAACUCAUCUUCUUCAUCAUCAAAGGGGUUGAGACCUAAAUGCAUGCCCAAAUUCAACUCAUACUAAAUUUAAAAUCAGCUGAAUGAACAAUUGAAGUCCAACCUAAUCCAUCCAUCUAAAUAAUUGAAUAUGGACCAUCAUUCAUAAGAGUAGGCUUGCUCAUGGAUUAUCUCGUUUGAAUUAUAUUUAAUGGGAUAUGAACCACUUCUUGUAAGAGUAGACUUGCCCAUGAACGAUUUCGUUUGAUCUAUAUUUGAUUAACUCGUCAUUUGAUAGACAUAUCAUAACAUAACCACAGUGUACAUGGUAUGUCUCUAUGUCUCUAUGUGUGUAUAUAGAUAUAUUUAUAUAUAAAGAUAUAUCUUUAAACUUACAUAUACCAUUCUUUAAUUAAUAAAGAAAUUUAAAAAAUAUAUUAAAAAAAAGGAAAGCGUUUAUGAAAGAUAAAACAAAAGGAAACUAAAUAAUAGUGAUAAUUUAUAGUAAAAAGUACCAAAUUUAAAUUUAAAUUAAACAAGAAAGAUAUUUCUAAAUUCUUUUAAUUAAAUAUAGUGAAUUUGGACUAGAGAAGAUAUGAACAAGAUAAAGUGAACUUAAUUUUAAAAGAGACCAAUUAAUUAUUGAUCAAAUAAAAAUUUGAUCCUCAACUGGUUUGGAUAAGAUUAAACUCAUAUUCUAAUUUUAAAAAGAUUAAUAUAAAAUGAAAGCCAAUUUUACUUUGUUAUAAUUUCAUAUGAGGUAACUUAAACUUAUGACUUUCUUGUUAUUAUAAAAUUUUUAUUUUGAAUUUAAGACAAAAAUUUUUUUCUUUGUUUUGUAAGUCAUCUCUUCAUGAUAUUAUACGUGUUUUUCCCGAUCCAAAUUAAUUUGAUAUCGACAAAUGUUGAAGGGGCUAAUCGAAUGAACUCGAACUAACCUAAGCUCCAUGAAAUGUGUGGGUCAAGGAUUGGGUCAUAAACUUGAUUAUUGAAGAGAGUGGGGUUGUCGUAGGCCCAAAAGUCUCUUGGGCCCAAGUUGUAUUUUUCUUCAGGAUACUUGAGAAAUGUUGCAUAUAACCAAAAUGGUUUUCAUUUUUAGCAAAUAAAUAGCAAAGAAUGAGGAUGGAGAGUGUUUAAUCAAAAUUGAGGAGAAGUGCUUUUGGAGAGGCAAAAGCAUGAAAUCAAUUUAAUUACGGCUCAUAUUGGAUAAAAACAUACGUGAAGAAACAUAAAAAUGGUUUUGUAAAAAUGAACUCUCCUAAUGGUAACAACAAAUUUAGAUCAGUAAUGGAAAAGUAAAAAAAAAAAAAUGAAGAUCGUUCACAGUUUUGAUGUCCAAAUAGAGAAGUUCCACAUUUCAUGCUAAUGAACAAAGCAGAUAAAAAAGAAGAAAAAAUAUCCAAAAUAUAAAUUUAUUUUGGUUUAAAAGAAAUUGAAUACAGAAAAUCAGUUGUUAGCAAGAAUUUAGAACAUUUAUAAAAUACAGAAACGAGAUUAGGUUAUAGAUAUAGUCAUAACUUAAAAAUAAACAAAACUCAACAAAUGUGUAUUGAACUAUUAAGUCGGAAAGGAAUGAUGUUUGGAUCUGUUGUAAUUAAAAAGAAAAAAAGGAAAAAAGAAAUGUGGUGUUGGGAAUGGGAAUGGGAAGUGGGCCAGAAUUGGUAGGCACAAUAAAAAGGGCAUACGGAGUCGGAAGAUUGGUCUCUGGGAAUAUCCAGAUUCGGAGAAGGAUACAUGGGUCAUAAAGACAAAAGAGGGAGGGGUAAAUAAGUAAAUUUAGAGUUAAAUACCCCACAACGCAUUACGCAAAGGAUAGAGAGAUAGGUGAAGAAGAAGAGGAACGGAAAGGGCAUUGGGAAAUUAUGAUUUCUGGAGUGUUCUGGUCCUAAAAUCUCCCCCCCCCUCUCUCUCUCCAAUCCAAUCCCCUCUUUCCCCCACCCCUUUCUAUAAUUUUCCAAAAAUUAGGUUUAAUUUUCUAAUAAACCUCUCUGUUAGUUAUCUAUCUUCUUCCCCCAAUAGAUUUUACAAAACCCUAGUUUCUCCUUUCUUCUUACUUUUUCUCCUCUUCAUCACUGUAUACAUAUAAAAACACACACACCUGAAUACCUACCUACCCUGCCUUCCUCUUCUUUUCUUUCUUGCAAUGUCAGUCUCCGGUGGUGUUUCGAUUGCCCGAAUCCGUGGCGAGAAUCGCUUCUACCAUCCACCUGCGAUGCGACGUCGUUUGCAGCAGCAGCAGCAGCAGCAGCAGCAACAGCAACAACAACAACAACAGCAGCAGCAACAGCAGCCGAAGCAAAGUGCUUUAGAUUCUAAGGACGUUGUGGCGGCUGCUACUUCCACGAUCGACGACUUGGAAAAGAGGAGUGAGUUUGAUGAGUGUCGUUCUUGGUCCACUCGCUCUGAUUGUUCUGUUUCCGAUCGGGGACUCGCUGAUUCUACUAAUUUGGAUCGCUUUUUGGAGCAUACUACUCCUCUUGUUCCGGCUCAUUGUAUUCCUAAGGUAAUCAUUGCUUGCUCAAGCUACUGUUUUUUGUCCUCUCCUUUUUUUCACUUGAUGUUUCCUCGGACUUUUUAAUUUGCUUUCUGGACUUGAAACUAGCUUAUUGUCAUGGUCAGCCUUCGUGUAUGAACUUCUGAGAUGUGUGUAUUGAACAAUCAAUUACGGUUAUUGCAAUUUUGUUAGGUUCAAGAACUUGUGGUUAAGUUGAUUAGCCUUGAGGCAGAUGUGAAAUCUUCCUUUCACAAUGUCCCCCCUUCCACUUCCCAUCUCUGCUUCUACAUUGUCUCUGUAAUCAAUAUAACUGUAGUGCUAGUUUUUUUUCUAUCUAUUUAAUUUCUUUUGUUUCACUAGGAUAUCGGUUAAGAAGUUGAGUACAGAUCUUAGCUAAGUUGCUUUUAAUUUGAGAACCUGACUUUGCUUCAAUUUCUCAAAUCAUUAAAUUGCUUCUUUAAUUGGCUUUUUGGGGAUGUCGACAGACGAGUCUGAGGGGGUGGAGAAAUCGUGAAGUUUCAGAGGCAUCUCCUUAUUUUGUGCUCGGUGAUCUCUGGGAAUCUUUCAAGGAAUGGAGUGCAUAUGGAGCCGGUAUCCCUCUAUUGUUAAAUGGCAGUGACUCUGUAGUACAGUAUUAUGUUCCAUAUCUGUCCGGCAUUCAACUCUAUGUUGAUCCUUCAAAGUCCUCUGCACUAAGGUAAGGAUUAUUCAUAGAUCACCAUAUUCUUAUAUCUAUUCAUUUCUUGCAAUUUUUUUUUGUUUAUUUCCCUUUUAUCCUCAUUGCCUAUAUGAAUUGAAUUUGAUAAGGUAUGUAUUUAUGCUGUUUGGUAAGAAGUAAUAAGAUUGUCCCUGAUUCUAUUUUGUUUUUGUUUUUUUGAGAUCUCAGGCUUUGUUUAGAUUAUAUUUAUAGGAUAGGAAUGCUAGCUUUAUUUUUUCUAAUUUUGAUUGGUGAUUCGUUUACAAUACUAUGAAUGCUAGCUUCAUCUAUUGUUCAGGAUUGUGCAAUAUGUAUAUCUUGUUAAUAUUUAGGUUGCAAGGGUUUUCUUGAUCUUGGAUCUUCAAUUGUGUAUAAAGGAGGAAAGGGGAGUACCUUCUUAUUUUGGGCAAUGGUUUACCUUACAUUUCACUCUUUUUAUGGGUUAUAACUUGCUGAACAUAUCCACUCUGGGUUUAACAAUAUAUGUAUAAAAUUGCUUGGCUGCUGGCUGUUGGCUGUUUUCCCCCCUUCACAUAUUCUUUUCUUCUUUGCACAAGAAAUGUGAUUAACAUCAUUUGUUAUUGAAGAGGCAGCGGUUAUAUGCCCUAAGAUCUGGUCAUCAUUUAUUUUAAUACUAGCCUAUUUUUUCAGUGGUUAAUUCUUUCACCAUCUCAUUGAUCUUUCCUUUUGAUCUUCAUCCAUUAAGCUUUUUUGCCUUUGGUCAUUUAUAUUUUAUUUUUACAAAAAAGCCUUAUUCUAAGUUGUUUUUGUGUUAUAGAUUUAUUAAGAUGGAAAUGAUGUUGUUAUUGUUUUCUGAGCUGGUAAAUGUGGCAAGUAUUAUCUAAAGUUAGGUACAUGAGAGUGGUAAGUGGAUUUCUAAUUUGAUAUUGUAUUUUGUAGUAGAAGGCGUGGUGCAGAUAGUGAUGCUGAGUCAUCAAAGGAAACAAGCAGUGAUGGAAGCAGUAAUUCUGGGGCGGAAAAGAAAACGAAAACUGCCCUUCAGAAUGAGUGGAUACAGGACUUUAAUGUUCCGGGGUCACAAAGAGCUCUUCAGAUGAAUGUACCUUCUUCCGAGUCAUCGAGUGAUGAAAGUGACUCUUGCUACCGUCAUGGUCAGCUUGUUUUUGAAUACUUGGAACGUGAUCCACCAUUUUGUCGUGAACCAUUAACUGAUAAGGUAGGUUUGUUUUUAUUUGGCUUUAGUACAUGAGGGUAUUGCAUUUCAGCCUUCUUGAUAACGAACAUGAACUUGCAUUGAACAGAUCACUGUCCUUGCAUCACGUUUUUCUGAAUUAAAGACAUACAGGAGCUGUGACUUAUCUCCUUCCAGUUGGAUAUCUGUGGCAUGGUUAGUUAUGUCUCCUCCUGAUUACGUUUUAUCAUGAUCCAAUUCUUUUACUCUGACAUAUUUGACUGUUCUCUAAAGGUAUCCAAUUUAUCGGAUUCCGACGGGGCCGACUCUACAAAGUCUAGAUGCUUGUUUCUUGACCUUCCAUAAUCUGUCAACAGCAUUUCAAGGUAUUUCCUCCUUGUUUUCUUAUGUAUAUAGAUACAUAUUUCAUCAAUCAAUUCUUAGUGCUAGUGUAUGCUCUGCGUGCUGCAUUGCUUUUCAGUCAAAUUGAUCUCAAUGCAUAUAUUCAACUACUUAGGUGUUAUUAGAUUGUUUAUCACCUGUUUUAGCUAGCUGUGUUAUGGAAAAGCAUCGGCUGUGGCUGUGAUUCUGUUUUUGUCGGAAUAUUUUUCAAGAAGAAAAAAAGGAGUAAAAAGUUGAGUUUUUGGUAAUAUAUCUGUAGAAAACGUUUUAGGACAAUAUUUAUUUCUCAGCUAAAGCUGCAAUAUGCCUAUAGUGUAAUCAACUCAUAAUCUAUCAUUGGCUUGUGCUAUUAAGUUUUUCAUAAAUUGCAUUUUUAAGAAAGACAUUCAAUGGGCAUCGUGGCUUGUGUUUGGAGCAGGCAUCAGCACGGAUGGUUUACAAUUCCAUUGGCCAAGAGUUAGAGAGGUGUACACUGCAGAUUGCCCUCUCAAACUGCAGUUGCCAAUAUUUGGACUUGCUUCCUAUAAGUUCAAAAUUCCUUUUUGGAAUUCGACUGGUGCAGAGGAAUGUUCGAAGGCUCACUCUUUGUGGCAAGAUGCCGACAGCUGGCUUAGGUUAUUAAACGUAAACCAUCCUGAUUACAGAUUUUUCGCAUCUCAUAACUCAUUCUGGAGAUGAUAACGAAGGAUAUAUCAUGCAUGAUGCAUAAAUGUGGGAUUACAGUUUUAAGUCCAAAGAAACUCGCUUCUCCUGAAUGUCGUGAAAGUUUUAAUAGCAUCUUUGGCUUCCUUUUUUUCUCAAAAGAAAUUCUACUUUGACCACCAUAUAAAGGGUGGUACUGUACAGGGAGAAUGAUGUUGAUAGUAACAUUACGGUUGAAACGGGGGGAUUGGCUUUGGGAUAGAGUUGUUAUUCUUGGAGCGUCAAUCCCCAUAGUAUUCUAUUAGUCUAUUCUUCCAUGUGUUGAGAAAUGAGUGAUGAUGGGAAUAUGGUGGUUGUGGACAGCGGAGAAACUUCUGUCAAAUACCAACACCCCCAUUCUUUUUUUUUUCUUCUUACUUUAAAUUGUGGGUUAGAUUUGUAACUUUCACUGGCACAACGAUAAUGAUGAAAAGUAUAUCUAGUAUUUUAACUGCAAUCUUUGCUGUAUUUAUUAACAGUUAAUUAGAUAAAGGCAAUUGCUGCUCUGUUUGUAAGUGUAUGUUCUUGAAUACAUCUCUUAAUCUGCUUCCCUAGGCUUGAUGAACAUUCUCUAUGGUCAGGAUGUUCUGUAUGGUGUUGGUCAUAUUAGGUCAUCUCCUAAUUAAUAGUUGAUAUUUUGAACUUCUCUAUGAUCAGGAUAGUUGAAAUGACUCAACAAAUAGAUGGCAAUCCUUAUCAAUAUCAUGGUGUCAUAAGUAAGAGUUUGGAACUUGUAUGUUGCGAUGACCCACAAGUUUGAGAUUGAUAUUUCAAGUUGUGAAGUUUGAGAUUGAUAUUUCAAGUUGUGUUGGGUGGAAGCCUUCACUUUCGUUUCGUAUAGGUUGGAUGUGAGCCAUGUUGGGUUGGCUGUACCAUGUGGAUAGUUCUGAUUUUAAUACUAAUCCAUGAGUUGGAUGGAUGUUUGGUUGCAUUUGGUUAUGUGUGUACUUGCUGACCUUAUAAGAGUGUCCCAUUGUCAGAGUUCGAAAAUUUAGGCAUCCAAAUGCUAACCCUAAGUUACAUUUUUCAGUUUCACAAAGUUUCUAUGUUAUUCGAUUUCAUUUGUCCAACUAAAGUGCUUUAGGGAAAGUACUUAAUUACAUAGCUUGUCUUAGUUAAAAACGUUAAAAACUGUUUGAGCUUCGUUGAUUAACUUAGGGCCAGCUAAGUUUUGUGUCUAUGCCCUUGAGUGAUAGGCAAUGGAUAUUGUUUUAUCUUCGUAUAAGUCAUUUAUUUGGUUAAAUAAACUUGACUUUUGGCUUUGGGUAGUUUGAAGUUUGUAUCUGUUUGGCUUGUUAAAAAAAUAGUCUUAUAUUCUUGUUUGGAGUUGGAAUUAGGACGAUUUUUAUGGGUUUACAUAAAAAAAUUCGGAUCGAGAAAUUUAACUAAAGGUUAAUUAAUGUCAUGGCUUUGAAAAAGAACCACUUCCUCUUCCUGGCUCUUAUGAUUAUUUAAUUAAUUAUUAAAACGAGGGUAAUGCAUGCUUGCACCUAAUUUGAUCUAAUUGAAUGAUGAUUUAUUAGUUAGUCAGAUUUAAAUAGUUUCUUUGUUUCGUUACAGUAUGAUGACUUAAGUUGAAUCUCAGGACGAUGUUAAAACUGCAUUUCGUAGGCCUGAAAGUUUGUUGGAUUGCAAUUACAUUACCGUUUUGAUUUUCAGAAAUCUAAGGUUUUCUUGGGCAAGUGAUUGAGUUAUUAUGACUCUUGCAUUCUCAAGUUGUGGUCUUACUAAUCAACUGAUCAAAAGAAAUUAUUUCACAAUAAAUUAGUUCCAUAAUCCAUUACCCAUUUCAAUGCCCAACUACCGUUUAACUAAAGUGACAACCAUAUUUUUCAUUUUGUAUCCUUACAUAUUAUUUAUUUUAAUUUGAACAAUUCUUGGUGAAUUAUGAAGCACUAACAGUAAUAGCUACUUAUGCACUGUCUUAAAACGUGCAUAAUUUAACCAUUAUGAAUAAAGAAUGGACUAUAAAUUUUGAGACCGGAGAUUCAAUCUUCCACAAUAUAAAAGAAUAUACACUAUCAACUAACCAAGACAUUAAAUAUUCAAACAACCACAAGCUCCAAACUUGACAAAAUAUUUAGUUACAACAUAGCAUAAACCCUAACACUGUAAUUCAAAUCACUUGUUCCAAAUUUAUUUAUAUGUGAAAAAAAAAAUCAUUUUGCUCAACGGUAAUUUAAGAGAACAAUCACUAGCAAAUGAAACAAAAUUCUUUGAGAAAUAUUUUAGAUAAUAAAAACUUCAAUUGUUAAUGCGUAGCUCUCGUAGCUCAGUUGGUUAGAGCACCCGUUUAGUAAGCGGGAGGUCUUGAGUUCGACUCUCAACGAGAGCAUAAUAUAUUGCUAUUUUGUUUUAUACAUUUUCAUAAUUCCAUUUUGUGAGGCCCAGCCCACUAUACACACCAUAAACGGGCCGAACCUAAGCCCAAUGCUUAUUUCCAUUUUUUCGGCUAAACAUAGUCAACGAACUAAAACGACAAGUCGACAAAUUCAUUUAAUCAGUAUAUUAUUUUUUCCUUUUUUUUUCUCUCCUUUUGAAAUGAAAACAUUUUAUUUGUCUUUUUUGAGUACAAGAAAUGACAGCUCAGCAUCAUGAAAUGAUGAAAAUAUGCAAACAUUAAUAAUUGAGUUGAAGGGUAAUGCAUAGACAUUAUCACACACAUUACAACUAAGAAACCAUUGGCUACCAUUUUUAUGAUUCAUAAUCAAAGAUUCCCCAAAUCCCUUCUUGAUCUUUGCAAAACCAAGAAAGAGUGCAUGCAUGGCAUGGCAUAACAUGGUCACCCAAUCCACUCCAAUCAUACCUUUCUUCACAUUUUCCUCCCUUUUUUGCAUGGGUGUAUCAUAUAAUUAUCCCGACCUUCGAGAUAAUAUAGUGUACUAUUUUUUUCUUUCAUCCCUUCUUAACUACUACACAAUCGUGUAGUAGAGAUGAAUUUUUUAAUUCUGUCUAGAUUAAAGAAAUAGAAUAUGAUUUCUUUUGUUGUGAUGUAGAGAACUUCUUGGGUGAUCUUUUCCAAAAAAAAAAAAAAAAAAAAAAAAAACCAUAAGAACAUAUAUGUAAAGUCAACUCUUACCCCAUAACGAAAGACUUGACAACUCAUUUUUAAAAAUUGUGGACAAUCUCACUCUUCUUUUGUUAACUAGGACAAAGUCGAAAUCUCAAAUCCGUAUAUGUAUUUGGUGUGUAAAUCUAAACAAACUUAUUUUUUCUUAUCGUCCGAUUGUUAGAGAACUCGUACUAAAUUAGGUUUUGAAACUUUCCUUUCUCGACGAAUGAGAUAUUGUCGAAAACUUUGUGCAUAAGUAAAAUGGGAGCUGUUCUAGGAUAAAAAGGGGGGCAAAAGCUAGAAAGAAGCAAUGAGAAGGACCAUAAGCCAUAAAUGGUGACAAUGAGAGAGGAAAAAUAAAUAAGGAGAAAAAAAAGAGAUAAGGAAGAAGAAGAGGGGAGAAGAUAAUAUGUGUUAAUAUGUUUUAUACAUUGAAGUAGUUAUGGUGAUUGUUGAGGAAUGGCAAAAGUUGUUGGCAAGAGAGGAGGCAGAGGACUAAACCCUUUUCAAGAAAAAAACAAGUUCUAAGGUCUAAAGAAAUGUGCAAAUUUAGAUUAUGGAAAUAAUAAUAACAAUAACAAUAAAUAAACAAAUAAUGUUUAAUAUAAUGAAUUAUAUAAGUAUAGGGUUGCAAGGCUGGCAAAUGGGUUUUUAUUUUAUUAUAUUUGGAGUUUAGUGAAUAGAAAAAUUUGAAAAAUGUGGAUUUUGAUGGCUAAAGGCCAAUGGACCCUCUCAUUGCCUUUUUCUUACUUCACACGUAGUUUCCAAUUUCGCUUUCAAUUAUUCUUCAAAAAAGAAAAUUUGAAAAUUUGAAAAAACAAAAAGCAAAAUGAAAUUAUACUUUCUUUUUCUUUUUCUCUUUCUCUUGUAUUGAUAAUAAUCUCACGUGCUCAAUUAUGCAUUUCCCUUUUCCUUUUCUUCAACCUAUUUGCAUUCCACAACUCCUUAAACCCUAACCUGCUUGCCUUCUAACCAUUAUUUGUGUUUUCUAUUAUAUCUCUGCACAGUUCGUAUCUUUUCACAACUAAAUCACAAAUUUUAGCCAACAAAUUUAGGUAAAUUUAUUCACUUCACUUUAAUUUCUAGUUUGGAAAAUGAUAGUAGCAUGUUUUUUAUGAUAGAAUAUAUUACUUUUUCUAUGCAAGUGAUACCCUCAAUACUCUACAAUAUCAACAAACUCUUUACUUUCUAGACUAAAUCCAAGUUCAACAAAUUUUUAAAUACAAGAAAAGUUUUAUGGGAAAAAAAGUGUUGAGGUAAUAUAGAAAUUAAUUAAGGAUGUAAUCUGAGAGGAACAAUCGCAUAGGGUUUUAAAUAAAGUUGGCACUUGAGCACUAUACAUUAGAAAGAAAAGAAAUGUUUUAAGAAAGCUUAUGUAUGUAAUAGAGCCUAGUUUUAGGUGUGAGAUAAUAAGAUCCUAAUAGUGUUGUUGGUCAUUUGACCAUAACUAAUUUAGACCAAAAUUUUGUUGACCCCAUGAUAGUUAUGGCCUAAGUCCUAACAUGGGUGGGAUCAUAUUUACCUACCCCAUGUGAGUUCAAAGAUAGCCUAGUUCAAGAUUCAAGUAAGACCACCCUAUUCGAUGGCCUAAGCGAUUAAUUUAGUCGGUUUCUAGUACAUACCUUUAAAGCUAGAAACACUAGAAUUCACAUCUAAAUAUUAAUAUUAACCGAUUUUAUGACUAUAGAUUCAAAAUAGAAGUACUAGAUUUUGUUAUCACACUCUAUACACUCUAUCCUAUGUGCUACAACACCAACUUAAUUACACAAAAAUUGUAGCAAUUACGUCACAACCUAUUUAUGAUCACACAUAAUAUAAUGUACACACUAUAUUAUUGAAACAUACAUAAACUCAUUUCAAAUUGACUCAAACGUAUGAUGAAAUAUUAUUUUACAAAUAUCACAUGUUCUUAAAUGCCAAAACUAUAGGUACAGGGGUUUGCAAAAAAUGACAAGAAAAAUUAUGAUAAUAAAACUCAUGUCGCUACAUAUUUUAAAUUACAAAAGUAGUAAAUUUAAAAGCACAUAGUCAUUUGAUAAUUAUUUGAUAUAUCUAAUUACUUCUCGUAUUUCUAAUAUGCAAAAAAAAAAAAAAAAAAAAAAAUACCAUGAAGUAUUUCUUUUUUCAAAAAUAAUUUAUCAUUAGAUAUAAUUUUCUACACAUAUAUAUAAAUUCUUGAAAGAAAGAGUGCUUAUUUCUUCAACAUUGUUGCUCCAAUACAAUAUUUAUUUUUCCUACCCUAACAAUACAUUUUAUGAUGCACAUGACUAAUUUACUCCAACCAACUCUAUAAACACAAUAAAUAUUAAGUCGUUUCAUUUUCAAACCAAUAAUGAAAAUGGUGCAUUCAGGUGACAUAAUAGCAUACAAUUUAAUUUCUAACACUUGGAUACAUAUAAUUACAUGAUAAAGAAGGCAAGAAUUCAAUAAGUUUCAUUAACAUAUCAACAUUUUCCUUCAUGUUUUACAUCAUAUUAUGAAUUCAACGUUAACCUCAAGAGUCAAUAUUAUAGAGAUUCUAUUAUUUUAUAAAAAAUUGACAAAACAUAAUAAAUAAUUAUCAAUAAAAUAAUGUUAAAUAUGAUAUAAAUAACAAAAACAUUUAAACCACUUCUUUUAUGAAUAUUUUUAUAAGCGUGAGACAUCAAUAUAAUUUUUUUUAUCAACAUUUUAAAUUUUGUAUGAGACAAAUCAAAAUUUAAAAUAUGAAUGUUGAUAAAAAAUGUUAAAAUUUCAAUAGAAAAGAUAAAAUUAAAUCAUCUAAGUUUGUGUAUAUAAGUAGCUCUUAUUUUGUUUGUGUUUGAAUGAUUUUUGAAGAAGUAUAAGGAAAAUAUAAUUUUUUGCUAAAAUGUAGAAAUAUGGAUAUGGAAAGAAAAAGGAAACCCAAAAAUUGAAAACAGAAUAGGAAAGAGAAGGAUAAGGGUGAGUUUGUAUGGUUUAGAUAUGGAUGAACCUCAAGAAAAAGAAAAAGGGUGACGUUCACACGGAGGGUUGUGUUGUUGACGUGGACCCUUCAAAGUACUUGCAUGAUUCCGCUCCAAAUGGACGGCUGUGAUGAGAAGAAAAGUACUAAAUUGUCAUUUUCCCAUUUUGGCCUUUCGGAUGGCACCGACUGAGCCUUUGUGUUCUUCGACGACGCACGUGCCAACCAAGUGGGCCUUUUCUUUAUGCAAAACGGCGGAGCCCAGCCCAAAUAGUUUUACCUUUGGCCCACUUAUUUUGUUUCCGUCUUUGUACGUGUGGUCCGUCUUACCACCUACGUCGUCCCACACGCCUCUUCCAUAUUAUUAUUGUUAUUCUUUUAACUUAUUCAUACCCUACCAUUAUUACUCUUUCAGGUGUCUCCCAUUAUAUCUUUUUCUUCAUUCUUUAACCCAACUCUAAUUAACACUAACUUUAACCUUUUUAUUAUUUUACAAUCUCAUCUACUUUAACAUUAUGUCACUAUGCAUGUUUUCAAGGUUGACUUUGACCCUUUUUUUUUUCUUUUCUUUUGUCUAACCUAACCCCACAACCCCAAAAGAGGAAACACCCCUUAGUUAGGAUGAUCUACUUCGUUAUAUAAUAACGUUGAUUAUUUUUCUAUAGCGUGAGAAUAUAAAGGACAAAUGAGGUGGAUAAGUACUAAACAAAAUGAAAUGACACAAACAACAUACUUUUGUAUGGGCCAUAUGUAAAAUUCUAUUUAUAGGAUUUUGAUAUUUUAUCCAAUCCCCAUCUUGUUAUGUUAUGUUAUUUGUUUAUCAAAUGAAUCGAUGUAUAUAAGGUAAGACUUAAAAAUGUUUAAAAAAAAAAAAAGAAGGGUGUAUAGUUAGAGUAAAAGAAAAGAAUGGGGGAGAGGGAAAAUGGGAAUUAGGAAAUGGUUUAGGGUUUAGAUAUUGAAAAAAGUGGUAAGGAGAAAGGUUGGGGAGGUGGGAGAGAAAAGCAGUUCUCAAAAUCACCUGAAAUCCCCCAACCAAAUGAAACUAAAAGCAGCAAUUGCACGCUCACUCCCACUUUCUUUAAUACUCGCGCCCGCGCGUGGCCUUUCUCUUCCUCAAAAGCACAAACUUCUUAUUUCCCUCUUCCCCAUUUUUCUAUUCCUUUCUUUUCUUUUUCUUUCUUCAAACAAAUUACAAAUACUAUUUAUUAUGAGUUAGUGUUUUAGUUAUAAUAACAAUCUCAUACUCACUAUUAUUUAUAAGAAUUGAUGAAUGUUUUGAUAUUUGAUUUAUUUGACAUUAAUUGUUACACGUUUAGGGACCUAUUUGAUACCUUAACAUGGCUUUAACCCACUCCCUGUAUUUUUUUUAUUUUUCUUUUUACUUUACUUGUUUUUGUUGUAUGGUCAUUUAAGGGCAGACUACAUAAUUCAUGGGUAAGAGGCAAAGAGAAAGGUGAAAGGAAUAUACAGUUUGCCAGUAUAUAUUUAAACAAAAAAACAAGAACUUUACAAAAAGCUCACUUCUUUUCUUGCAAUUCAACUCCAAUACAUACACACACACACACACACAAUAAACAAAUACCCAACUGCCCAUUAUUUAUUUCUCCCCCUUUUCCCCCUCUUACUUUCAACUUUCAAAACUACCAAAAUAUAUAAUAAUAAUAACAACAACAACACAUUACACCACCACAUAACCCAAAACAAUCCCUCAUUGUGUUUCACGAGAUGAUAAGUGCAACGUGUCACAUUAUGAGUGGCUUAUAUGGUAGAUGACAUGGCAUCAUGAGCCCCCCCCCUCCCCCCCAAGAAAAAGAGCAUUGGGGGGGAGCUUCAAAAGCAGUGCAUGAGGAGACUGUAAAAAGGGCAAAAAGGGAUAGAGUUGGGGUUUUGGAGUUUGUUUUGUUGGUAUCAUAAUUUAUAUAUAUAACUCAACAAUUCUCCCAUUCCCCCAAUAUAUAUAUAUACACAUACAUACAUAUAUUAUAAGGUCCUUUUUUGCAAUUUAUGGGACACUUUAAAAAAGGGGAUAUCAGAAGGACUUCAACUUCCUUGGGGCCUUUCUUGCAAUAAUGAGAUUAAUGUAGCAUAUUAUUAUUGCUUAUCCUUUGACUUUUUGGUCAACUUUAAAACCCCCCCUCCCACUUUUUUCCUCUCUUGCAUGAUAUAUUACUAUAGAGUAUAGGGUAUAUAUACUCUUGAAUGAAAAUUUUUAUACUUUAAUUAUUAUAGGUUUUCCAUAUGAUCUAUGUACAAUAUAUUGUAUUGCCUUUUUAUGAAUGAAGGUAUGUUGUAAUACAGAAGUUUCUAUAUAUAUAAAAAAAGGAAAUGUUUUUAGUUUUCCUCUUUUUAAUUUGGUUUAUUUUGUUGUGAUGGAUUGAUAAAAAAAAAGAGUCUAGGAUGGUGACAACUUUCAAUACUUUUUUUUGUAUGAUACUUUCAUUUUCGUGGAAGUAGGUAUUUUUAUAAAUAAAUCAUUAUAGUUAUGACUUUGGUGAAUUGUUUUUUCUUUUUCAAAAUUAUUGCUAUCAAAUUACUAUCAUUUUCAAUGUCUAUUUUUGUCUUAAAGGUAUUUGGGUUUAUUUAGUUGAAAAUGGGUUUAAAGUAACUCAUUCACAAUUACCCUAAAUAAAAUGGGUUUAAAGAGAGAAAAAAAAGGAGAUAAAUUAAAUGAUAUUUAGAUAUUUUAUUUAGGGUAAUUGUCCAGGUGUUAAGUACCACUAAUAAUUAAGUGUAUAUAACUAUACAUUUUUAAUUAUAUAUAACUAUAGCAAAAUUUAUUAGUAAUAAAAUAUAUUAAAGAUAGACUCCUAUUCGUGGUAGAUUUUAUUGUUAAUAGACUUCUAUUAACAAUAUAUAGUCACCAUUGAUAGAAUCCAAGAGAUGAAUAUCUAAGUUUUGCUAAAUUUACAAAUUCUUUUGACUAGAUUGAUGCAUUUGUAGUUGCUUUAAUCUAGUCAAAAUAAUAUUAUAAACAUACAUAAUUAUCCCUCAUAUAAUUUAUUAAUUUACUAAUACGGGUGUUAGGACACAUUGAAUUUAUUAUUUGAUGCUUCGAAUGAACAAAUUCAUAGGUUCUUAUAUUUACGUUGUUUCUCGCAUAGGCGAGUCACUACCAUCUAUAAUUUCUAUCUAACAAAAAGUUGCUUCUUCAAUCUUUUUGUUUAUGUACAUAGCAAACACAAACACAAACACAACUUUGAUGUCAAUUUUCUUGUGAUAUGUUUGAUAGUUAAAUACCUUUAGGUUAUGAACAUUUCUUUUUCUUGAUCAGUAAAAUUAAUAAGUUUAAAUUCAAUUUACAAAUCUACACAAAACAAAUUAGCCCAAUAUAACUUGAAGAAGAAAAGUCUCUUUUGAGUGUACUUUAUAUUUUCAAGAGAUCAUAUGAAUUACUGUUCCUUUAUUAAUCAUGUAGCAUAUUCCUAGGAACUUGUUCUAUAUUUUAACUUAAAUUAAAGCAUAUAUAUAUAUAGAUGCUUUUUCAACUUUGCUCUUAAAAUAAAAAUGAAAUGAAAUAAAAUAAAAUAAAAAUUCAAAGGGCAUAUAUUUAAUUUUAUUUUUAUAUGAAGGGGAAAGCUUUGAAAAAUUAUUGUAUGUAGGAGUAGUUUGUAGACCUAGACCCUAUAUAUACUUAUCUAAGAAUUUUGUGGUAAGCUUGAAAUAAUUAUGAGGAUUAAAAUCUUUUGUAAUAAUGUAUAGGAGAAUUGGAAACUCUAUAUCUCUUCCAAAGAAAAAAAAAAAAGUCUAAUGGUUGUUAAAGUAUGCUUCAAUUGAACCUUAGAAUAUAUAAGAAAUAAAUAUUUGAUCAACUUCAACCUUCAAACUUUGCAAUUCUUUCUUUCUACAAGGAAGGAAGUAAGUUUGGCUUACAAAUUUCUUUAGUUCUUGUUAGAAUAUAAAAUGUCAAUUGAACUAAGUUCAUAUAAUUAGGCUAUCAUAACAAAUUCCAUAAUCCAUUAUCUAUGGAGAUGUAAAUUUGCAAAGAUGUUUUGAAGGGUGAAGGUUGAAAAUCUAUUAGAAUAACCCUAUGGGCUACUAUAGGAUGAGAUAAACAUAUCUUUUAUAAGAAAUUUUAUAAAAACUCAAUAAAAAAAAACACAUGAACUUAGUUGUAUUUAGUUUAGUUCGACUAAAUUUUUAUCUAGAGUUUCAGAUAUUGUUGAACUGCCAAAGAGAAAUUAACGCGCAAUAAAAAAAUUUUGUAACUAAAAUUUUGAAAGUAGAAAGAUCACAAUAUGAUGAUUGAUAUUAACAUGACUAAAAAACAUAGAAUCUAGUUACUUUUAAUGAGACAUAUUCUUUUUGAAUUCAUAAAAGCGAGCUUGUUGGAGCUUAUCUCGAUGUCCUGUGAAAUUAGAUAAACGUCGACGAGGGAGAAAAAGAUGAAGAGAGAGGUAGUGUUACUCUUAUAUGUCAAAGAUGCUUCCUUUUAGGUGGCCAUCAAAGGCUUGGUGCUGAAACUUAUCUUAAUAUAUAAUAGAAUAGAAUGUUUAUUGUUGUUCUCAGUUGGGUUGCAAUUUUUGUUCUCUCUUAAUACUACAAAAGAAAAAGAAGAAUACUGUGGAAGAUUUGAAAUUUUUGAGAGCAGAGAGAAUAGAGUUUAAAGAGUAGAUUUUGGUAUGUGGGUUAGUUAAUCUUAAUCCUAUGUGAGCUGGAUCCACUCUCCCAGGAGUGACCCACUUUGAAUAAAAUAUUUCGAUAACCCAAUGAACAACGAGCCCCUAAAUAACUGAGAAAUCCCAGCUCCAACUAGGAAAACAGGGUUCUUCAACCGUUCUGCUCCAAUCUCUAAGAGCUGUAUAUAAAAAAAUUUCUCUUUCAAAAACCCUUUUUUCUUAUUCUUUCUCUGAUUUCAGUUAAACCCCAGAUGGAUUUUCUUAAUUUUCCCACUUUUUGAGUCCAAAGUUAAGUGGGAAAUGCAGCUUUCUCAAUUUUGGGUGUUUUUCUUGCUUUUGUUUGUUUGAGAUUUGGGGUAUUCAAGGGUAAAUCUGAAUCAAGUUGAGGGAUCGAUGUCUACGGCCAGUUCCAGUUCUGUAAGGAAAGCUGGUGAAGCUGUUCCCGACCAGUUUCCAGCCGGCCUUCGUGUUUUGGUUGUGGAUGAUGAUCCAACUUGUCUUAUGAUCUUGGAGAAGAUGCUUCGUAUUUGCCGCUAUGAUGGUAAACUUUUCAAUUCCAAGUUAUGUAUUUCUUGUUUCUUGGUCAUGGAAUCUCUCAAAUCUGUGUUAUUCACUUUGUUUUUGAAGUACCCAAAUGCAAAAUUGAUAGUUUAUUGGAGUCUCUGAGUGAAAUUACUGUCAUUUCUUUUAUCAUUUGUUCUGCUUUUUUUUUUUUUUUUUCUUGAGUUUCAAUUUUGGAUGUGAGAGUUUAUUGUGUACAUGAGAUUUGGACACAGGGUUUGGUUUAGUUUUCAACCACCCCCCUCCCCCCACUCUCUCUCUCUCUCAAGAUUUUAUUGAUUUAAGAUCGUGAGUUUCUUUGAAGUUUAUGAGUUUACUCUAAUUUUGACUCGUUUGCAUAUGCUAUCUCUCUUUUGAGUUGCCCAUAUUUGAAUUAGGAAAUGCGUCUAUCGUUUGGUUAGCCGUCUUUAUCCAGAAGUUGUGUUGUCAUGUAAAUGGUAAACCAUUAAUGGACAAGCUGUAUUGUUUUUGGGUGUUUCAGUAACAAAUUGUAGUCGAGCAGAGGACGCGCUCUCUCUACUCAGGCAGAACAAAAAUGGGUUCGAUAUUGUUUUGAGUGAUGUCCACAUGCCAGACAUGGAUGGAUUCAAACUUCUGGAAUACAUUGGAUUGGAAAUGGACCUGCCUGUAAUUAGUAAGGAAUACAUUUUGUUGAAUUUCGAGUUCAUAAUACUGAAUGAUGUAGCUUGAUGAACUGGUUUCUAAUGAUGGGACUUUGUGUAGUGAUGUCGGUGGAUGAUGGGAAAAACGUUGUCAUGAAGGGAGUGACUCAUGGUGCUUGUGACUAUUUAAUAAAACCUGUUCGAAUGGAAGCGCUGAAGAACAUAUGGCAGCAUGUUGUUCGCAAGCGGAAGAAUGAAUGGAAGGACUUGGAGCAAACUUGUGUUGACGAUGUAGAUCGGCAGCAAAAAACAAAUGAAGAUGCAGAUUAUUCAUCAUCUGCUAAUGAAGGUAGUUGGAGGAACUCAAAGAGGAGAAAGGAUGAUGUAGAAGAUCCGGAGGAGAGGGAUGAUUCAUCAACCCUAAAGAAACCGAGGGUCGUUUGGUCUGUUGAGCUCCAUCAACAGUUUGUGGCUGCUGUUAAUCAACUAGGAAUUGAUAGUAUGGAUCCUUCUCUCAUCUUCUCUUGCACUCUACUGUUUCAUUUAUGUUUGAAUGUAUGUCUGUAGAGAAAAUUGUAAACGAUUUCUAGGGAGUUAGGGAAUAUUUCAAACUUGAAACUAUUUUGCUCUAUCAACCCUCGCUUUGUCUUCUGGGUUGAAAUACUGAUAAAAAAUCAUGGCAUCAUUGACUCCAUUGAUGAAAUUCGAUAUUUGGCUUUAUGAACUUUUAAUUGAGUUUUAGCAUAUGAUUUUAGGUUUUUUGAGUUUAAGCAUACAUUUUUAUAAUUUCUUUUAAAUUUGUGGUAAGCCGUUUCUUACCUUUGUAAAAUACAAUCUAUAAUUACAGAGGCUGUUCCCAAGAAGAUUCUGGAGUUGAUGAAUGUCCCUGGACUCACUAGAGAAAAUGUUGCCAGCCACCUUCAGGUAAGGAUCAACCUAGAAUUGUGUUCAUUUUCAAGACUGCUUGUCUAUCCUAUUUCUGUAGCUUCUCUCCACACGACACUUUCUCAUGAGAUUCUUAGUAACACUGCACCUUUAAUGUAUAGAAAUACCGCUUGUAUCUGAGAAGGCUAAGUGGAAUCACACAACACCAGAGUAAUUUAAACAACACAUUCAUGAGUGCCCAAGAUGCAUUUGGCCCGCCACUGAACGGCCUUGAUCUACAAACUCUUGCUGCUGCUGGUCAACUCCAGCCACAAAGCCUUGCUACACUUCAAGCAGCUGGAUUUGGUAGGUCUACAGCAAAAUCUGGGAUGCCUAUGCCUCUUGUGGAUCAAAGGAACCACAUUUUUAGCUUUGAAAAUCCAAAGUUGAGAUUCGGUGAUGGGCAGCAGCCACAUUUGAAUGGUAGUAAACCAAUGAAUCUACUUCAUGGAAUUCCGACAACUAUGGAGCCAAAACAACUUGCUAAUCUCCAGCAUUCGGCACAAUCUCAUGGGAACAUGACAAUGCAAGUUAGCAUCCAAGGAGGCCAAUCUAGCUCUCAACUAAUGCAGACACCUCAACCACAAGCUCGAGCGCAGAUCCUUAACGAAAGUACCACAACUAGUGUAACAAGGCUUCCACAAACAAUGCAGCCCUCAAUUUUGCCUAAUGGGACUACUAGUGCAGUUUUAGCAAGGACUGAAUUUGGCAAUAACAACAGAGGUGGAGGAUACAAUCUAGUUUCACCAGCUUCAACAAUGUUAAAUUUCCCUUUGAACCAAACUGCAGAAUUGCCUGGUAACAGUUUUCCUCUUCAAAGUACCCCAGGAAUGUCAAGCAUCGUACCAAAGGGAAGAUUUCCAGACGAUGUUAACUCGGACAUUAAAGGAUCUGAAGGUUUUGGGCCAAGCUACGACAUGUUUAGGGAUCUUCAUCCCCAGAAACCCCAUGAUUGGGACUUGCAGCAUGUAGGCGUGACCUUUGAUACAUCUCAAGGUAGUCUCGACAUUCCACCCUCUGCUUUUUCUCACCAAGGGUAUGCCUCUAGCCAACAAAAUGGACAAAACAGGAACACGUCUACAGCAGGCAAGGCCAUGUUCUUGUUGGAAGAAGGAAGUGACAAUGGGAAUGCACAAAGUAUGGGGCAACAACUCAACCCUAUUUUCGUUGAUGGUUCAGUGAGAGUUAAAUCUGAAAGAGCUUCUGAUAUUAGCAGUCAAACAGACCUUUUCUCUGAACCCUUUGGUCAGGAGGACCUAAUGAGUUCACUUUUUAAGCAGGUUAGAUUGCAGUACCUUCUUUGUAUUUCCUUCACCCCUACCCCGGAUUCCACGGUGAUGAAAUUCGGUAAGCUUAAUGUAGUUGUUACUAAUAUUAUGGUAAAUAUUUUAUUUGACAGCAACAAGGAAGCAUAGCAACAGCUGAAAGCGAAUUGGAAUGGUUGUUUCAUCAUAAUACUCCUGUUUAGAAUAUUGCUUUAGCUUGGCAGUCAGAGUAUGCCCAUUGCUUAAAUUUGGUAAGAGAAGCAUGUGGUUUAGAUGAGGAUGGACCUUUCAAUUCAGCAGACAGACCAUUUAGACAGAUCACUCUAGCUGUAAUAUUCUGAAGCACAUUUAGCACUAAAGCAUACUAUGCAAAUUGCAUAUGUGCAAGAUUCUUUCGACUGAUUCCACAGAGAGACUAACUCAAGUCUAUUUGUGGAACUGGCCAUUACUGCGGUGCUCUUGACGCAUGGAAUCGAGAUUUUUGACGCAAUUGCAGGUUUUAGGAACCCUCCCCUUUAUGACUCCAAUAACCUACUGAAAUAAUACUCUUUCUAUGUUCAAAGCAAUUGCAGCUCACUUUCAUGUACAUAUUCUGUUAGAUGGUACAAGAAACAAUCCUAGAAAUACUCGGUUAUCCCGUUUGUAUUCCUAAAAUUUUGAGAUUGUCGUUAAUACGUCGUUGCCGUUUAUAUUUUUGUCUUUUUAGUUUCAGCCAUUUCUCUAGAUAUAUAGGCUCUAUUUUCAGAUCAAGAUGGUGAUUCUCAUGUUGAAGAACUUUCUGCAUAAUGUGAAAGCAUAUGAUGGAUAGGUUAUUUUAUCCUAUGGAUUCUGUAUAAGAGUAUUUAAGUUCAAGCUGGUAAAUAGUAUAUGAUAUGUAAUGUAAGGCAUCUUUGUUUGGAUGUUUUGUUGAUGGACAAGAAAAUGAAGUUGUCAUUUUUUUUUUUAAUAUUCAUUUGAACUGAAACUGAUUCAAGUCUUAAAAUUUGAUAUACUCAUCAUCUUUUUUAAUAUUCACAAACUAAUAAAAAAUUUGAAAGUUCACACAAAUUCAGCUUUAUGUUCAAUUAAUUAAUUGUAAAAGUUGGUCAAUAUGACCAAAAAAAAAAAAAAAAAUUGAACACAAAAUUAAAAUUUUUAAAAAAAAUUGAAGUAAAAAAAAAAAUCAAAAUUUAGAGUCAUUAAAUACUUUUUAAAGUUCAAUGAUCCUAAAAAUUAGGGAUUAAAUUAAGUUCAACCAAAUCUUUUC
rnacentral:lncRNA from 1 species